rnacentral:lncRNA from 1 species
GACCCGCUCUACCCCGGCGGCAGCUUCGACCCCCUGGGCCUCGCCGAGGACCCCGAGGCCUUCGCGGAGCUCAAGGUGAAGGAGAUCAAGAACGGCCGCCUCGCCAUGUUCUCCAUGUUCGGCUUCUUCGUCCAGGCCAUCGUCACCGGCAAGGGCCCCCUCGAGAACCUCGCCGACCACCUUGCCGACCCCGUCAACAACAACGCCUGGGCCUUCGCCACCAACUUCGUCCCCGGCAAGUGAGCGCAGUCAGCUCAACCUCUAGGCCGACAACUUCAUGGCUGAUGGAUGCUGCUGCAUGUGUGUCGUCGUCGAUCUCUGCUUCUUCCCGUUCUGAGAUUGAGUAGUCCGGACUGAUAGAUGUUGCAUGUGAGGGCGAUUCGAGAUGAGGAGUUGGUGUGUGUACACUACAAGAUGGUGUUUGUGUAAUAUCUGGCUAUUUUCUCAGAUUAAUCAAGGCAUCUCUGUUCUUCUGCUUAACUCCUUGGUUUCUCUGAACCUCUGAAUGUCAAAUGCAGAAGUUCUAUGAAUGUUUCUCUGAAAGUCCAAGCAACUAAAGCAUUCAAAUUCAUCAAGACAUUCAUUCCAUCCAUUUCAAGUUUUCAACACUGAUCAACUCAACAAUCCUGUAAAUACAAUUCCAUUUGUAUAUGUAACAAAUACUCUACAAAUCUGGGGUUUCCUACAGUAAAAAAAGUAAAAUGAAACGCUAGGACUAGUGCAACUUCCUUCUGAUGAAGAAGAAAGUUGCAGUUACUACUGUGCUACCGGCCUUGCAGAACGGUCAUGGCAAUGGUGUUCCUGCUGUUCUCGAGAUCGGUUCUCUGGAUCUUCUCUUCCAUCAUUCCGACGUACCCUGGCUGGUUCGGCGCCGGGAGAGACGCCGAUGCCACCACCGACGCGCUUCCGUUCUCCAAGAUGGACACAACGGACGACAUGAGGGGCCUCCUGCUCGGGUCGUCCUCCACGCACAGGAGGCCGACGUGGAUGCAGAGCAAUGCCUCAUCCUGCGAACAGCUCUCUGCCAUGGAUGGAUCCACCAGCUUGACUGCCUUCCCUUCCCUCCACAGGUGCCAUGCCUACAUGAAACAACCAAACCAACCAUCAGGAAUUGUUUUUUUCUUGCUAUUAUGAAUACAGAUACGAUCACAACAUGGAGUACUCCCUCUGUAAAAAAAUAGAAGAGUGUCUAGAUACUUAGAAACUUCAACGGUUUGGUUUGGCAGUACCAGUGAAAAUGCAGGUGCUUACAUAGACUAUCAAGCUAGGGAACUCCAUGAUGCCCUUGGUUGCGCUUAUCCUAACGCCGCUCACGAUCUCCAGCAGCAGCACGCCGAAGCUGUACACGUCGGACUUAACUGAGAAGACACCCUCCGUCGAGUACUCGGGGGCAAUGUAGCCGCUUGUCAACACAUAAUUUUUUUAGUUAGAAGAGGUGUCACAUGUUUUUUUGUCAAAUGCUACUACCAACCUAAGUAAAAAAAAACUCUUUCCCGCCCUGUAAAUGUAUUCAAGUGUUCAAGAUACUCACUAUGUUCCAACGACGCGCUUGCUGUUGGCUUUGACCUGGUUGUCGCCGAAGAUCUUGGCCAUGCCGAAGUCGGCGAUCUUGGGCCGCAUCUCGGCGUCUAAAAGGACGUUGCUGGCCUUGAGGUCCCUGUGUAUCACCGUCAGCCUCGAGUCCUGGUGGAGGUAGAGCAGCCCCCUCGCUACCAACCUUGAUGAUCCCCAGCCUCGUCGGCCAGUCCAGCACAGAUUUCCUCCCUGCCCUGAAUCCUUGCUCAGUCUCUUCACAGCAACCACAUGACCGCCUUCCAACGUCCCCUUCCCAAUGGUAAAAAGAAAAAAACUGGAGUGACCGAGAUCAUGAAUUGCUUUAGUUUGGCGACUGAAUAUUGUGCAGGAGAUUUCAGGCAUAUCCAAAGUUUUAAAUAACCGGAUAUAGUCAUUGAUGUACUUUGCCGAUCGUGGAUCCGAUCGAUUUUUUUCUCUCGCAUACAUAUAGCUCUGGUCUUAUAUGACUUUGCUAUUUGCUGGUGUGUCCUUGUGUGUGUGUCUGUUGGUGUUGGUUACGUGCAUCUUAGUUAUGCAAAGGUUAUGUAUGCUCUUUGGGUUUGUAUCCUCUUGAUGCAGCCAAUAAAAUCCACCCUUUGUCAAACGCUCCAUGAAGGUUGGUUUCAAAAAGAAAAUCGAAAAUGAUAUUAUUUUUAAUUUUGAAGAAAAACUGACAAAAAAUAGACAUGUACAUAGAUAUUUAUAUACUACGUUCAUGUAAAUUUUCAUAGUGAAACAGAUUUUGGUCUAGGCUAUACAAAACAAUCAUGAAUUUUUACGAUGAUUAGUAAAUGUGUUAGAUAUACAUGAUUUUGUCUUUUUUGUGUAGCUGACAUUAAAACAUAUUUGAUCGUGAAAAUUUAUAGAAAUGUCUGAUACAGUUCUAUGUACAUAUGUUUUUUUUAAGAUUUUUCUGAAACCUGAAUAAUGUAUUUAUAUUAUGUUUAUAAAUUCAGGCUCCAUGGAGCCGGAGAUCUGAAAGGCAUUUCCGACUAUAGCCCCGCUAUUCCGUUGCUAUAGUUAAUUUGGAAGACUGACGAUAUUUAAAAUAUCCCGCUAUUUAAAACUACGUGUAUACCUUAUAGACAUUGCCAAAGCCUCCACGGCCAAUCAUGAAUGUCUUGGAGAAGUUGCCUGUGGCGGUGAUGAUGUUGGCAAACUGUAUGCACGGGAACUCAUGGUCUCCGGUGUGAUCUACUUCUCUGAUUUUCGCUCGAUGUGUUCGUGGUCCCGGUCCCAGGCACCAACUUAUUUUGGCUCUCGGUGAAAUUUCUUCUCUUGUCUGUGAAAUUGAUAAUAAUGAUCGAGUAUGACCAAAAGUGAUGUUAUGAUCCUGAGCCCACAUGCCCCCUAGUGAACAAUAAGAACCGGAAAAAUAGUAGAAGAAAUUAGAAAAAAAAAAACAAAAUCCAUACUCCAAAAUGCUUUGAAAAUAGUCUUUUUCAAUCAUCUAUUUUGUUUUUGUUUUUUGCCUGGACCUCCACGAAUAUCAUUCCAUCACAAAUAUUGGCAUCCAGAUGAAACACUCAACAAUGUUUAUCGCACAAAACAAAUUCUGAAUAUUUUGAAUCUUUUUCAAAAAAAAUUGGAUUUUGCUGUUCACCCACCCAGGAGCAUAUGAGCUUGAGAUCAGAAACUCCAUGUCCGAGCAUGGAUGCUUAGAGAAGGGAAGACCAUAUGACUAUACCUCUGAAUCUACGAAACCAUACGAAGAAAAUGCAUGAGAGCAGCAGGGCAGCUGCCAACACCGGCACUGCUAUCUUCACUGCAUUUCUACCUGCACGUUCAAAUACAGGGCAAAAAUUUGAUGAAAAAACACAUUUUGUGGUCUGAAUUCGGUAAAGAUUCAACAGAAUUUUGAGAAAGUUCGGUGGAAAAAAUGCAUAUGUGUCCGCUGUACCUGUGGAAGCAGCAGCAACCGGCACGCGGAGGUAGAGCGUCUCGCCGGGCGCGCCGAUCAUCUGUGCGUCCACGAGCUCCCCUGCCCACACCAGGCACCGGCCCAGUUCACCCGCGUAUGCGUAGGCCACACACGAGCAGCUGGCUGCGCACCUCGCCGCGCACUCCUCCGCGCUCCGGUUGCCUGCGUCGAGCAUGAACUUGUCCGGCACCGUCAUGCUCGGCAUCGACACAAAACCCUCCCGCUCCUGCUUCCGCCGGCACCCCUGCUCGAACCUGCCGGCGCUCCACUCCGCCGCACUCGCCGGCCGAACCCAUCGAGGCACCUGCACGCCGCCGGCGCCGCCGUGACGUCGCAGUACCCGUACGCGCUGCAGUGCCCAUAGCUGCUGCACCCGCUCGACGGCCACGACUGGAGCGUGUCCCAGGCAGACGUGGUGCCGUUCCAGCUGAGAAGCUGGAGGCUGCCGGAGCUGGUCAGCACGUACCGCGUGGGCGUGAAGGUGAUGGCGAUCUCCUCCUCGGUGGCCACGACCGCCGUGUUGACCGUGCCGGCGCUGAUGUAGCUGCUGGAGACGGCGUGCCCCGUCCAGACGGGAUUGCACCAGUAGGGGCGCGUGCCGUUCCACAUGAGCAGCUGCAGCGACGUGCUGGGGUCCAGGCCGUAGGAGAAGCGCCCCGGCGCCGGGUCGCGUGGAGACCUCCAGGGGACGAGCCAGCCAGCCUUGCCCGUGUGGCUCAGCCGCACCUCCAUCCUCGGCAGGAACGUGUCCGUCGGGUGGUCGAAGCUCUGCCACACCACCGUGCCGUCCGGCAGCUGGAUGAGCAGGUUGCCGUCGCGGCCUGCGAGGACGAUCUGCCCGCGCCGGGCGUGGUCCAGAGCACGCGGCCGUCGGCGUCGGACAGGACGAGGCUGAGUCGUUGGCCAGCGUGAGAGUCGGGGUGCUGAACGUGACAGGUCCAUGGAUGAAAUUCAAGGUGCGUCGAGCGACGAGUUUGAAUCGGUCAAUCGGUCGAGAGCGCUUGCGUCUACAUGGGCCGGCCCACCAGCAAUGACGGGUGUGCGCCCGGUACAUUUGCUGGCGCUCAAGGCUGAACGCGCCGUAUAUGAGCCCCCGGUGCUUCCCUCGCCGGCCGACUUGUGGGUCCGUGGUGGCAGGUGUGCUAACACUACCUCUGGAGUCUGGACCGAUCUCUCUCAAAGUGACUUUCACCGAUCCCAGAAACAGACCAGACUGAAACCAUCACGUUUGAGGUCGUGCGCUGCCUGUUGUGUCAAACCCAGUCUACAGGACGCUGCCAUUGCUUGCGCUAGGCUUUAUCUCUACUCCUAUAAAAAUGGGAGUUGGUGAUGAUGGUGUGUCUGCCUUGGUGCAAUCUAUACCGUUCGAUCUGGAAUCUGAGGCUGCGAUUGAGACUUUGUGCCAUCAUUUGAACAAGAGCACGGAUAGCAUGGAGGUUUCUCUCGCCAAGCAGAUUCUUCGAAAACCCUCUCCACAAUUCCUCGUUGCCGGCCCCUACCCUCUCUUUCCCAGCGUCUUUUCUCGGCGACCGCCGGAGUUGAGUUGGGCGAGGGUUCCGUCUCCUGUAUAGCUGUAUUUGUAGUUAAGGUCUUGAUAAAUCUGAUUUGGGUUGAGCUUUCCCCGGCGUCUCUCCUUCCAGAUCUGGCCGUGCAGACCGUCGGAGAGGGAGACAUGGCGGCGGUUGCUUCCUUGUCCAAGUUCCUCACUCUCCUGUCUUUCUACUCCCCAUGAGAACUAUCACCCCAAAACUGAGAUGAGCCCAUCCCCCGCACGAUCGGGCGCGAUCCUUCGUUUCCUCUAUGCCGCAUCAUCCUACGGGGAAAGAUGGCCGUGUUCGUCCAGGCCAGCGCUCCCGGCCACCCGGCAGGAGGUCUAGGUUGCCUUUGCCGAUGCAUCAAGCUGCGGGCGCUCCGCUGGCGCGGCGUGCCCAAUGCAGGUGUACGCCGGGUAUUCCCGUGUUUAUCCGAUGGUAGCGCAAUCACCGGCACAGCGUGUCGCAUUGUCUUCCUCAACGAUUGCCACGGCGCUGCUGUCGUAUUCGACCUCCUCACUUCGCCGCUGUGAUUCUAUCCGCUGGGAGGUACGUGCACAUUUAUUUCAUCCGCAAUUUUGCAUGCGUAUGAGAUUUGCUUAUUUGAUGAACUUCGGUCCUGCAGUAGUUUAAUCAGCUCAUCUUAGAGAUAUAGGCUAAUUCCUAGCUUAACAAUUUACUCCCUCCGUUCCUACAUAUAAGUCUUUUUAGGGAUUUCACUAUGGACUAGAUACGGAUCAAAAUGCGUGAAUCUAUACUCUAAAAUAUGUCCAUAUACAUCCGUAUGUAUUUUGCAGUGAAAUCUCUAAAAAGACUUACAUUUAGGAACAGAGGGAGUAUAAUUUAUCAGGCCAAUUACCUGAUGGGAGACAACCAGACGGGGAGAACGAUUGCUUGAAGAGCCUCGGGCAGUCUGCUCUCACAAGGAAAUGCAAAGGUAAUUUCACAAGAGAAGUGGUGAUGGCGAGGCUCUGCCACGACAACCUUGUUCGCCUCCUUGCGUACUGCAAUGAAGGCGACGAAUGGAUAUCCACUCAUCUAUGGCUACAUGUUGAACAACAUCAUGGAUCUCUACAUAUUUGGUACAUAUACUUGUAUAUUUUUUUCUUGCCUAUGAUCAGAAUUUGGAUCACAGUAGACAAUCAGGUUCUCUUCUAUGAUUGUUGGUUAUUGUUUUCAUGUAGUCCAAUACAUAAGUACAGCUCAUAGCUGCAUGGUUAGAAUUCAGAGAAAAUGUACAUAAAGUUCCAGAUAAUAGAAUUGCAAACUUGGACAAUACCUUUAGAGGAAAUUUGUAUGCUGGACAUGCUUGACCAUGUCAAAGAUCAUGCAUGAGUAAUUAUAUCCUCGGGUUAUUCGUAUUAUCUGCAAAGUGAGCUUCAAAAUUUUGUAAACUAGCAUUUUCAAUAGUUCAGAGCUACUACUUCACUGUCAGUAUUUAGGUGGAUGGUCUCUGUUUUAAAUUCAUGAUACAAGUAAUGCACUUCGUCAAGUUUUAUUUAUCUGUGUCCUUGGUUCCAAUAGCUAUAUAAUUUCUUCGCAAGCACCCAAGUACGGCAACUCUAUUGCCGUUCAUGCUUGGCCUAUGCCCUACAGAGAGGAAUUAGUAUUUGCCUCUUUGUGUCAGAAUGUAGUUGUGUCGCAUGCCUCUUGUAUCAUUUUCAUCGUUGAUAGAUGCAUUACCAAAAUAUCAUUGCAAAAUUUCGUGGUUGCAGUAUUUGUCUUGUUAAUUUUGCAUUCCUCCCUUUUCUCAUAAAGUGUUAAUUCUGUGUUAGUUAUAUCUUAUGUUUUCUAUGUUCAUUGCUUCUGUUGACUUCAGAUUGUGCAUAUGUGGAGAAGCAUGUAUGAUUGCCCUCAGGUUUAGAACAUAUUGCAUAACAAGCCAUUCUCCUUGGCAGCCGACCUAGAAGUGAGGUCACAAUUGACACCCCUUGUCGUCCAACUUCCGGCACUUGAAGUCUCUGUGCGACAAAAUUAUGCUUGCCAUCUGAUCACCUUGCCGCAUGGUAUGUUCAUGGGACAGAGAAUAUGAGAUGCAGCUCCCCAAUGUUUUCACUUCUCCACUCAAAAUUUUCAGGCCACAACCUGAAUAUUUGUUUCCUUGUUGUCUGUCAUCAGCAUUUUUCUUUGCAGAAACCUGGUUAAGGAAGUUACCAGUAGUCCAGUACUAAUAUUUUCGUAUGUAUGUACUUGUGCACUCACCCCUUUUAUAUACAUAUAUGGUUCAAAAAGCAUCUUUUACUUUAUUUUUUGUUUAUUUGCUCAGUACAAAAUGUAGUGCAGUCUAUGAUUUUUUUCCUUGGUCUAAAUAUACCACAGACCCUCUACAGGCUCCUUAUUUUUUUUCCAUUGUCUAAAUAUACUACAGACCGUUUAUAUAUAUGCAGUACUGAUUGCCUAAUGUCCUUCUAGGUGAGAAGAUAGAUUAAGUUGGAGUUCGAGAGCUAAUAUUGUUGGCACAAAUGUUUUGAGCAAACAACUAAAAGAAGGGUAUACUAUGCUUUGCAGAUGGAAAAUGAUUCCACGGCCUCAUAUAUGCCUAUGGUAUAUGUAACUAAGCAUGAAUCAAUUUUUUUUCUCUUCAUGGUGCUAUUGCAUGCAGCAUGCUUGUGCAUAUUUAUCAAAGUAUUCAGUUGAACACUUCUACUUCAUUCUUGUUUGUUCUUGAAAGUGUGCUCAAGCAACAGUAAGUAUGUUAUUUGGAUAUAUUAAUUGUGUGGGCUGGAGGUGGAGCCUGUGUUAACCAAAAGCAGAUUGGUAUUGUAACACUUCCCAAAUGUGUGUGGAUGGAUUUUCUAUUUGUCACAUGCUCUGUCCCCUCAAUUUAGAGAGUAAUGAGAAAGCUGGUUGGAGAGAACAACAAAUCUUCGCCAAGGUAAAAAUGGAGAAGAAAAUAUUUGGCUUGGACAAGGGGGUCAUCGAUCAGAAACCAUAAGUUUGAUUUUUGCUCAAUGCGUACACAUCAACAAUAUAGCAUUACUGUGAUCAAUGUUAUGAUACAUCUUUUUUGUCCACUAUGCUCCUAAGUAAACAAUGUCUACUUGAUUAUUUGUGAUUCCGUAGCGUAGCACUAGCACGGGCAUCUUACUAGUCUGAUAAAAAGACUGAGGUGGAGAAGUAGCUGAGUAGUAUUAGACUUUAUCUAGUCCAAAAGGCUGAGCUGAACUAGUACUACAGUUGGUGUAGUGAAGCUGGCAAGCAUCCCUAUAAAAGGGCAUAUGCAUCCAUCGUUGUAAAUCAUUCCACUCCGAUCAAUUCAACUAGUACUCCUUUCUCAAGUGCAGCUCCAUCCGUGUAUGUUCGCUAGUGUGUGUGCGUACUUGCUAGUGUGCGCAGCGCAAGCAAGUAGUACCAGCACUUAGCUCUUCCACCGGUCAUUCAUCAGGAUAUUAGCUAGCCAGUAGUUUUUGCGCUAACACUGCCAAGGCAUCUCUGUUCUUCAGCUUAACUACUUGUUUCUCUGAACCUCUGAAUGUGUAAUGCAUAACUUCUCUGAAUAAUUUUCAGCGUAAACAUGGUAAAUAUUUCAAUUUCAGCAAGACAUUCAUACCAUCCAUUUCAAGGCUGAUCAACUGAACACUCCUUUAUAUACGUCUUUCAUUUAUAUCUCUAACAAAUGCUCUACAAGUCUGGAGUUUCCCCCAGUAAAAAAACAAAAACUGGAACACUAGGACUAGUGCAGCUUCCAUGUGAAGAAUGUUGCAGUUACUACUGUAUAUACCAUACUACCUGCCUUGCAGAACUGUCAUGGCCAUGGUGUUCCUGGUGUUCUCGAGAUCGCUUCUCUCGAUCUUCUGUCCCAUCAUUUCGAAAAAACCAGGCUGCACUGGCGUUGGGAGGGAUAGUGACACCGUCGACGAUGCACUUCCGUUCUCUAAGAUGGACACGACGGAGGACAUGAGUGGCCUCCUGCUCGGGUCGUCCUCGACGCAGAGGAGCCCGACGUGGAUGCACAGCAAAGCCUCAUCCUGUGAACAGCUCCCUGCCAUGGAUGGAUCCACCAGCUUACCUGCCUUCCCUUCCCUCCACAGGCUCCAUGCCUACAUGAAAAAAAGUAUCAUAUCAACCAUUUGUGUGUUUUGUGUAUGUGUGUUUGAAGAUGAAUAUGAAUUUAGGCAUGACAUGGACUGAACUGAAAAAGGAAGGAAGGUAACUGCAAAAAUUGGCGUGGCAAUGCCAUUUUUAGUUCAGGGUCGUACAUAGACUGUCAGGCUGGGAAACUCCAUGAUGCCCUCGGUUGUGCUUAUCCUGACGCCGCUCAUCAUCUCCAGCAGCAGCACACCAAAGCUGUACACGUCGGACUUGACAGAGAAGACUCCCUCCGCCGAGUACUCGGGAGCAAUGUAGCCACUGUCCACAAGUUUUUUGUGUUGUCAGAAGAGACGCCGAAUUUUCGGUGAAAUGCUAGCUUGGUACCAACUUUAAAAAUAUGCUUUUAUUUCUGAAAAUCCAGUUAAGUGUUGAGGUUACUCACUAUGUCCCGACAACGCGCUUGGUGUUGGCUUUGACUUGGUUGUCAGCGAAGAUCUUGGCCAUGCCAAAGUCGGCGAUCUUGGGCCGCAUCUCGGCGUCCAGCAGCACGUUGCUGGCCUUGAGGUCCCGAUGUAUCACCGUCAGCCUCGAGUCCUGGUGGAGGUAGAGCAGCCCCCUGGCCACACCCUUGAUGAUCCCCAGCCUAGUAGGCCAAUCCAAGGCUGAUUUCCUCGCACUGUCUGCAACAAAUGCCAUACACAACUUCAGGAACCAUGUAAAUAGUUUCAUUAACUUGCUUGUGUAAAAACUUGAUGAGCGGCUUCUGUCAAGAGUUUCAUUAACGUGGACAUCUGAACAUUAUAUGUACCAAAGAGAAUGGCGUUGAGGCCCUUGUUGGGCAGGUACUCAUAGAUGAGAAGUUUCUCGGCCUCCUCGGUGCAGCAGCCGAGGAGGCGGACCAGGUUCCGGUGCUGCAACUUGGCGAUCAGAAUGGCCUCGUUCUUGAACUCCUCUGCUCCCUGGUCCGAGUCCUUGCUCAGCCUCUUCACAGCGACCACCUGACCGCCGUAUAGUGUUCCCUUCCCAAUGGUAAACAGAAGCAAGUGGACCGAGUGAGAUCAUGAGUUGCUUUAGUUUGGCGACUGAAUUUUGUGCAGGAGAUUUUAGGUGACUAAAUUUAGUACCUUGUAGACUUUGCCGAAGCCUCCGCGUCCGAUCAUGAGUGUUUCCGAGAAGUUGCCGGUGGCCGCGACGAUGUCGGUGAGCCGUAUAGAGGGGAACUCAAGGUCUACCGUGUGAUCUCCUUCGAUUUCGCUCCAUGUGUUUGUGGUUCCCGUCCCGGGCAUUAGCUUCUUCUGGCUCACGGUUUUCUUUCUCCUAUCUAUGCAAGAUGUUGUGAGCAACUUUUUCUAAGAAUGAUUGAGCAUUUGAGCAUGUCACGUUUAGCGGUAAGAGGAAAUUACUGUACCUCUGAAUCUCCACAACCAUACAAAGAAAAUGCAUGUGAGCAAUAGGACAGAUGCUGGCACCGGCAGUGCUAUUUUCACUACAUUUCUGCUGGACUUUCCACCUCUGUUCGGCAGGGCUAACACCGGCACUGGCAAAUUGGUUCGGUUUGAUUAAACAGACGAAGUUCGGCAAAAAAAUAAAAAAAAAUUAUGUUUCUGCUGUACCACCUGUGGAGGCAGCAGCAACGGGCACGCGGAGGUAGAGCGUCUCGCCGCCCCAGCCGAUCAUCUGCGCGUCGACGAGCUCCCCUGCCCACACGAUGCACCGGCUCACGUCCCCCAUGGCGCUGCUGCUCUGCAGGUUGGCGUACGCCAUGCACGAGCAGUUGGCGGCGCACCUCGCCGCGCACUCCUCCGCGCUCCGGUUGCCGGAGUCGAGCGAGAACUUGUCCGGCACGUUCAUCGUAGGCAUCGCUAUGAAACCCACUCCUAUGCUGCCGCGUCCGCACGGCGGCAGCGCCUCCUUCCGCCGGCACCCUUGCUCGAAACUGAAAGCUGUCCACUCCGCCGGACUCGCCGGCUCGAAGCCAUCGAGGCACCUGCACGCCGCGGGAGCCACCGUAACGUCGCAGUACCCGUACGCACCGCAGUCCCUGUACGUGCUGCACCCGCUCGUCGGCCACGACUGGAGCAUGUCCCAGGUCGACGCGGCGCCGUCCAAGCUGAGGAGCUGGAACCUGCCGGAGCUGGUCACCACGUACCGUGUAGGCGCCGCGCCACUGGAAACGGUGAUGGCCACGGAGAUCUCCUCCUCGGUCAGGACGAUCGCCGUGUAGAGUAUCGUGCCGGCGCUGACGUACAUGCUGGUCACGGCGUGCCCCGUCCAGACGGGCGUGCGCCAGUAGGGGCGCGUCCCGUUCCACAUGAGCAGCUGCAGCGACGUGCGGGGGUCCAGGCCGUAGGAAAAGCGCCCCGGCGCCGGGUCGCCGGAGGAUUUCCAGGACACGAUGCGGUCGCCCUUUCCCGUCCGGCGGCUCAGCCGCAUCUUCAUCCCCGGAAUGAACGUAUCCGUCGGGUGGUCGAAGCUCUGCCACAACGCGGGGCCGUUCGCUCGCUGGACGACCAGGUCGCCCUCGUUCGUCAGCACGGCCGCUGCCGGCGCCUGUGGUGAUGAACUGACCGCGACGGUCGUGUUCCAGAGCACGCGGCCGUCGGCGUCGGACAUGACGAGGCGGGAGUCGUUGGCCAGCGCGAGCGUCGGGGCGCUGGCGGCCGGGGCGCCCCGGUUGGCCACCCAGACGACGGUGCGAGGCCCGGGGAUGCCGUUGUACCAUAUGCCAAGAUACCGUCUCGCCGGGCCAGCGGCGUCGUCUGGGGAGAAGAAGCCGAGAGCGAAGGCGCCGCCGUCGGACACGAGGGACUGUCCGGCCAGGAGCUUCUCCCCCACGGCCAGCUGGUCCUUGGCGGACGCGCACAGGAGGAAGAAGGCGACGACGAGGACGAGGACGGCAGAACGUGACCGGUCCAUCGAUCAACUUCAAGGUGCGUGCAACGAGAUCAUCAGGAGACUUGAUUUUCUACUCCCGGGGCACCUACACAAAGCUAGCUAUUUACUCACUCCGUCUCAUAAUAUAAGAGUCAGAAUAUAAGAGCGUGCAGUGUAAAAAAACACUCUUAUAUUAGAGCAUCUUCAACAAACGCGCGAUAGCAUGGCGCGUUAAAAAAGUUUCGCAGCGCUGAAAUAGUGUUUUUGCGCGUGACAGGUUUACCAGACGCACGAGAACACACGAGCACAAGCCGGCGCCUCAAAUUUGCAGCCCCAUAGCCAUCAUGCGCUAAAUUUACGGCUCCGUUUUUGUGUGUGCUCUAUUUUACAACUUAUGUUGAAGCAUCGUUGUUUGUCGCGGGCAUAUUUUCCAGCGCGCGGCUUGUAUAGCGCGAGAUGCUCUUAUAAGACAGAGAAAGUAGCUACGGCCUUGACGUUUCUCUUGGCGGUACGAACGUGAUCAUUCUUGUCCGAAAGGCGAUGUCGCCAUUGUAGCUAACCCGACGGUCACAGGCGGAGCUCCCGGUAGGGCGAGGCAGGGCGCCCGCCCUACCUUGAUUUUGUGCAGAAAGAUUAGUACAUGUAGUCAUACGCUGUCGCUGGCCGGUUCUAUGUGCGUGGAGUCACGUUCGCUAGAAAAAAGAAGACUUGCUGCUGCUGCUGUGCAUCCUUCGCUAAGCGGGAACUAAGAAAGCAAUCAAGCCCAUCCCAGUUGAUCAAGCCGCACGCACCAGUUUCCCUCAAAAAAGAAAAAGGUGCACGCACCAGUACAUGCUAUCUCUCUCUCUCUCUAAAAAAAAAAGUACACCAUGCCAUCACACGGAGAGCUAUAAAUUUCUAUAAUUUCAGCCUAAAAAAAAUAUAAAUUUCUACAUUUUCAUGUUGUGAAUUUAUGAUGUAAAUUUUCAUAGUAGCUUCACAAUCUAGAUGGCAUUAAAGCUUCAUUAUCCAUUUGUUUUCAGGUCUACUUAAAUAUGCUUGCAUUCCCAUUGUAUUUGAAUUAGUUUAAAAUCAUGUAAAAUUAUCAGAGCAUAUUAUUAUUGUGUAUAUGCUAUUUGAUAUUUCAUCAAAUUAUAUAUCACUCCCUCCGUCCCAUAAUAUAAGAGCGUUUUUGACACUACACUGGUGUAAAAAACAUUCUUAUAUCAUGUGAUGGAGGGAGUGGUCAGUGUUCGCCCCACCUUAAACUUUUUUCGUCCUCCGCCACUGCCGACGGUGACGCUACUUUGCGAGUUCAUAUUGACUAAUUUCAGCAUGCACCCAGGUGAACUAGUCUUAGUCUGGUCUACUAUGUGUGCGCGUUUUACCUACGCGCUAGUGCAUAACUCGACCUACCUUGCCCAACAACGGCAGUUUUUUUUAACACAUUACAAUCACAAUUGCUCACGAAUAUGCACAUUGCAUCCUAUCCGCAGAGAUUUUUUUUUCUGCAGUGGAAUCAGAAAGAUGUAUUCGACCAAACGUAUUAUCUCGACAGUCAGCCAAGAAGCCACUGAACAUAAAGCUAAACAAAAUGAGAUCCAUGGGCACUAAUACCCAUGACAUACUCGUUAUAGAAUAAGCCCACCCAGGUGAGAUGAGAUCGCGGAAAUUCGCCCCCACGGGCGACGGGAGUGGAACCUGCAAGGUAGCACCAAUGUGCCCUCGCCACUGAACAGAAAUCUAGAAGGUUCGAUCAGCCAACUCUCGGUCACAUUCAAUUAUGCCAUUAAUAAAUAAGAUAAUUAAUAAAUAAUGAUGAGUUGGAACUGGACCGCGACAAGUUUACACCCACACUGUAAUUAAUAAAUAAGAUAAUACCCCGCGCGUUUUCGUGGGAAUUGGUCGAUAAAUUUUUGGGUUGACAAUAUGAGGAUGAAAAUUAAAAAUACAUAUGACUUAAUAUAUUUCGUCAUGUAUACUUGUAAAAUAUUUAUUGAAUAUAUGUACAAUAAUUGAACAGAAAACAUUUCCCCUUCGUUGGUUUAAUGUUGUGUUGUGGUGGAUCUUUUCACAUGCAUAGUUUUCCAUACAUUUUUUCUAAAAUAUAGCAUACAUUUUUCUGAAUGUAUGAUUUUUUUUAAAUUAGGCAAAUAUUUUUUAGCAUUGUAUAAACAGUUUUCUUAGAUGUCACGUAUAUUAUUUUUAAAUGCAUGACCUUUUUUUUAAUGUCAAAAUAAUAAUUCAUACGGAUGAUCAACAUUCUUUAUACACGUUUAACAUCUUUAAAUUCAUGAUUAACAUUUUUUUAAUUUUACAUAAAGUGUUUUUGGUAUUAUAUAUUUACACUAUUUCAAAAUAUAAGGCAAAAACAAAAAUAUAAAUGUGAAGAAAAAACUUGGGUGGCGGCAACAUGACACGACCAUGUGGUUACUGGGCCGGCCCAACAAUGGCUUCAGCAUGGGACCUUGUGCUAGAGUCGCUACAAUACCUCAUGGUCUUUUUUUUUUUGAGAAAAGGCCAUCAUGGCUAGCUUUAUUACGAUUAAAUAGUAGAUACAUCGUCUACGAGCUUGCUGACCAAAACACAGGUGGCUCGUGCAACCAAAAAGAAGAGAUCUUAUUACAAUAACUAUGAUUCGCUAGCACAUGAGCUGCUUGAUUAGCAGACCGAUAACAAUGUUUAUAGACGACCUUUCCUAUAGCCGUAGCCAUAUCCACACACUCCGCAAAGAUUGCCGUAGCUGCAUCCCGCCAUCUGGAUUGUCCGGUACAAAAGUUGAUCACCUGCAUAGAAUCAGACUCCAGCUCAAGGCGACUGUAUCCGAGAGAAUUAGCUAGCUCAAGUCCAUCUUUCAUGGCCAUCACGUCGGUUGUGACUACGUCAGCUGCAAAAGGGACAAACCUGCAUUUGGCAGCAAUAAAAUUACCAUAUGCAUCUCUUAGAAUAGCUGAGAUCGCUCCCAUUCCCUCUUCCUCAUAGAACGCUGCGUCCACAUUUACUUUCACAAAAUUUGAAUCAGGUUUACUCCAUUUUCUGUCUUGUGUUCCACUUGGCUUAGAGAAGGCUUUGUGAUAAUUGCUUGCAAUCGCUAACACUGAUAUGGGCCAACAGAUAAUCAGAGGGACUGUCUCAUUAUGCGUAAUGCGUCGCCUAAUCCACCAUAAAUACCAGCAAGCCACUGCCACAACCUGCUUAAAAUUCAGAGUUGGUUCGAGCACCAUUGGGAUAUUCGACAAGUCACUAGUAGAAAACAGGCCUUACAUUUGGGCCAGAUAAGCCCAUUAGUCCCGGUUCAGUCAUGAACCGGGACCCAUGGGCCCAUUGGUCCCAGUUCGUGAGGCCAGGAGGUCUGCCAGGCCUCGUGGGGACAUUGGUCCCGGUUCGUCGGGCCCCUUUGGUCCCGGUUGGUGGGACGAACCGGGACCAAUGGGCCUCGCUCCUGGCCCACCACCAUUGGUCCCGGUUGGUGGCCUGAGCCGGGACCAAAAGCUGCCCUUUACUCCCGGUUCAUGCCACGAACCGGGACCAAUGAACCGGCCAGGGGAGAGGGCUUUUGUGUGUAAAACAUUAAAAGCAAAAAGAAUUUUCAUAAAAUAAAUAAAAAAGCAAAAAGAAAAGAAAAUAAAUAAGUAGAAACAAAAUAAAAUAAAUAAGUAGAAACAGAAAAAACUUUAAUAAAUAAGUAGAAACAAAAUAAACUUUAAUAAAGUAAAAUAAAUAAAAAUAGCAACAGUAAGUAGAAACAAAAUAAAAUAAAUAAAGCAAAAAAGAAAUANNNNNNNNNNNNNNNNNNNNNNNNNNNNNNNNNNNNNNNNNNNNNNNNNNNNNNNNNNNNNNNNNNNNNNNNNNNNNNNNNNNNNNNNNNNNNNNNNNNNNNNNNNNNNNNNNNNNNNNNNNNNNNNNNNNNNNNNNNNNNNNNNNNNNNNNNNNNNNNNNNNNNNNNNNNNNNNNNNNNNNNNNNNNNNNNNNNNNNNNNNNNNNNNNNNNNNNNNNNNNNNNNNNNNNNNNNNNNNNNNNNNNNNNNNNNNNNNNNNNNNNNNNNNNNNNNNNNNNNNNNNNNNNNNNNNNNNNNNNNNNNNNNNNNNNNNNNNNNNNNNNNNNNNNNNNNNNNNNNNNNNNNNNNNNNNNNNNNNNNNNNNNNNNNNNNNNNNNNNNNNNNNNNNNNNNNNNNNNNNNNNNNNNNNNNNNNNNNNNNNNNNNNNNNNNNNNNNNNNNNNNNNNNNNNNNNNNNNNNNNNNNNNNNNNNNNNNNNNNNNNNNNNNNNNNNNNNNNNNNNNNNNNNNNNNNNNNNNNNNNNNNNNNNNNNNAAAGUUAUUCAAAAACUAGUGAUUCACAUAAAUUUCAAAAAAUUCAAAUUUAAACUAUUCAAAUUGGAAAACAAAUGGCACUAACAGAAAGUUUAUAAUUUUUAUUACCUAAAAGCAAAAGGAACUAAAAAAUAAAGCAAAAACAAAAGAAAAUAAAUAAUGCAAAAAAAAGGAAAAAACUGGGAAAAAAAUGCCACCUACUGGGCCACUACGGCCUGAAUACGACUAGAAACCCUACCAUGGGCCAGGAUUCAGGCCCGCAGAAGGUCCAGUAGGCCCAACAGGCAUAGCAGUGACAAUUAGGCCCGUAAGCCUGCAAUCGAGAGGAGCUCGAGAGGGAUGCGACAGUGGGGCUUAUAAACCACUACUCGCCCCUCUCAACUAGCGAGGUGGGACUAAAGUUUUGGUCACGGGCAGCACGAAGCCUUUGUCCCGGUUGGUGGCACCAACCGGGACUAAAGGUGGGCAUUGGUACCGGUUCGUGGCACCAACCGGGACCAAUGCCACCCUUUAGUCCCGGUUGAUGCCUGCUGAAAAGAGGCCUUUGGUCCCGGUUGGUGGCACCAACCGGUACCAAAGGGGGGCAUUGGUCCCGGUUGGUUCCACGAACCGGGACUAAAGGCUUUGGUAUAUAAGCAAACACUUGUGAAAAUUUCACUUCUCAUCUCGCAGUUGCCGCUCCGACGACGCCGGCGACAUCGACACCGCCAGGCUGCCCCAACGCCGCCCGGCGCCCCCGCCGNNNNNNNNNNCGUGCCCCUGUCCCGACGCGCCGCCCCACGCCCCCGGCCUGCCCCGACCACACGCCGCCGCCACGUUCGGUCCGGCCGGCUUCCUCUCUGUUUUUUUUCCAGAUUUUUUGUUCAUAUAUAUGAUGAUUUGUUUUUUGCAUUUUUAUAAAAAUUUAUAUAUGUAUGUAUGUUUUCUGUGUAUAUAUGUUCAUAUAUGAAAAAGUUAGAUUUUUAGAAAAAAUUUAUAUAUGUAUGUUCUCUGAUUUAGUGCAUUUUCGUUUAGUUUCAUUUUUAGAAAAGUUUUAUAUAUUUAGGAAGAAGGAAGAGAAGGAAGAAGGAAGAAGAAGAAAAAGUUUUAUAUAUGGAAUAGUUACGUUUUUAGAAAAAAUUUAUAUAUCUAGCAAGGAAGAAGGAAGAAGAAAAAAAACUUUUAUAUAUGCAAAAGUUACAUUUUAGAAAAGUUUUAUCUAGGAAGAAGGAAGAAGGAAGAAGAAGAAAAAGGAAAAUAAUAAGAAGAGGAAGAAGGAGAAGAAGAGGAGAGGAAGAAGAGGAGAAAUAAAUAAGAAGAGGAAAAAAAUAGGAGAAGAAGAAAGGAAUAGAAGAGAAGAAGAAAAAAUAGAGUAAUUUCUAUUUUUUUUCUUCUUCACCUCUAUUCCUUUCUUCUUCUCCUUUUUUUCUUUUUUCUUUUUCUUUAUCGGGUAUGUCGUUGUCGAUAUACCACCUCCCCGAUAACUUCGACAUGGGGGGGGGUCGAUAUACCACCUCCCCGAUAACUUCAACAUGAGGGGGGGGGGUCGAUAUACCCCCUCCCCGAUAACUUCGACAUGAGGAGGAAUAGAGGGUCGAGGGGUCGAGGGUUCGAGGGUCGUCGAGGGUUAGAGGGUUGAGGGGUCGAGGGUUCGAGGGUUCUAGGGUUCUAGGAAUAUGCAAAAGUUAGAAUUUUUAAUGUUCAUAGAAUUUUUUUGGUGAUAUUAUUGUCGAAUAUGCAAAUGUUUGUAUGUUCAUAUGUAAAGAAUAUGUCAAUUUUUUUGUAGUAGAUGAUGAUGAUGAUGAUCUAUGAAAACUUGGUCAAUUUUUUCUAUUAAAACUCGUAUUAAGUUUGUUCGAUGAAUGUUUCAUGGGAGAGAGGGAGUAAAAACUCAUCAGACAUGAGGGUGGAGGAGUCCCCCUCCGGUUCCUAACUCUCUUAGGAAUUCAACAUAUAUUCAACAUGAGGGGGUGAAAGAUCGUGGAUGUCGCCUAGAGGGGGGGGGGGGUUGAAUAGGCAUAAUUACGGUUUAGGUAUGAACAAAUGCGGAAUAAACCUAGCGGUUAAUUUGACAAGCACAAAACCUACAACAACUAGGCUCACCUAUGUGCACCAACAACUUAUGCUAAGUAAGAUAAACAACUAAGUAAUAGCAAGAUAUAUGACAAGAAACAUAUGGCUAUCACAAAGUAAAGUGCAUAAGUAAAGGGCUCGGGUAAGAGAUAACCGAGGCACGCGGAGACGACGAUGUAUCCCGAAGUUCACACCCUUGCGGAUGCUAAUCUCCGUUUGGAGCGGUGUGGAGGCACAACACUCCCCAAGAAGCCACUAGGGCCACCGUAAUCUCCUCACGCCCUCGCACAAUGCAAGAUGCCGUGAUUCCACUAAGGGACCCUUGAGGGCGGUCACCAAACCCGUACAAAUGGCAACCCUUGGGGGCGGUCACCGGACCCGUACACUUUGGCAACCCUUGGGGGCGGUCACCGGUACCCGUCAAAUUGCUCGAGGCGAUCUCCACAACCUAAUUGGAGACCCCGACGCUUGCCCGGAGCUUUACACCACAAUGAUUGAGCUCCGAACACCACAAACCGUCUAGGGCGCCAAAGCCCCCAAGAGGAACAAGCUCAAGGGUACCAAGCACCCAAGAGUAAUAAGCUUCUCAACUUGUAACUUCCACGUAUCACGUGGAGAACUCAAACCGAUGCACCAAAUGCAAUGGCAAGGGCACAUGGAGUGCCCAAGUCCUUCUCCCCCAAAUCCCGCCAAAUCAACUAAUGCUAGGGAGGAAAAUGAGAGGAAGAACGAAGAAGAGAACAUACAGAACUCCAAGAUCUAGAUCCAAAGGGUUCCCCCCACAUAGAGGAGAAAGUGAUUGGUGGAAAUGUGGAUCUAGAUCUCCUCUCUCUUUUCCCUCAAAACUAGCAAGAAUCCAUGGAGGGAUUGAGAGUUAGCAAGCUCGAAGAAGGUCAACAAUGGGGGAAGAACACGAGCUCAAAGGAUAAGGUUCAUUGGGGAAGAAGACCCCCUUUUAUAGGAGGGAAAAAAUCCAACCGUUAUGUGCUUAGCCCGCACACGAGCGGUACUACCGCUCGGGCGGAAGAAGUAGGGAAAAGGAGGAACAAAACAUGAACCUUGGGGCGGUAGUACCGCUUAUAAGCAGUACUACCGCUCACCCUAGCGGUACUACCGCUGGGGGAGCAGAACACGGGACCAAAAAGAGACAGGGCAAAGCAGAGUACGGCGACAGUAAUGCAAUAGCGGUACUACCACCCGACCGGAGCGGUACUACCGCCCAAUCGGGGUGGUACUACCGCUUAUAGGCGGAGCUGCCAUGCCUUACUGCCGUGCAACUACUGCUAAACCCGACACGAAAAGUGCAAGACCCAAAAUCGAGGCGGCAGUAGAGUGGUACUGGAGCGGUACUUCCGCUUGACGCUACAAGCGGUACUACCGCUGCCACCGCGGUACCGCAGGGAGAGAAACAGAACUGCCAUAACUUCUUCAUAUGAGCUCUGAAUUGAGCAAACUCAAGCUUGUUGGAUAGAGGAAGACUAAUGGUUAUAGUAAGAAGAGGCAGGGGAUGUAUGCCUAAAAUAUAGAGGAGAGAAACCUCCAACCGAGAAGAACCGGCAUAACCUCCAACAUCGAAAACAUCAUAGAAUAUGCAAGUGAACUCCGUUUUCGAUGAACUCGAGCUUGUCAUGAAAAUGACCAUAAGCUCCAAAUCUCACAAGGAGAAGAACCAAACAAGAACCAAUAAAGAUGAUGCAAGGAUGCAAUGGUUUGAGCUCUCUAUGAACGAUACGAUCAAGCUACUCAUCGAGAGCCCCCUUGAUAGUACAACAAUCGAUCCUAUAACCCGGUCUCCCACAACUACCAUGAGACCGGUAAAAUAGAAAACCUAUCAAGGGCAAACCUUUACCUUGCACAUGGUUCACUUGAGCUAGAUGAUGACGAUCUUGAAUCCCUCAAGUUGGACCACCUUUCUUGAUUGCGUUGGCUCGAUCAAGACUGGUUGAUUGCUCCCCCAUACUCCACUAUGGGUGAGCCACUCUUCCGCACAUCUUCACAAGUCCAUUGUCACCACAAUGGACGGCAAGCUUCAAGCAUUUGAUCUCUUCGUGAUGCUUCACUUGAACUUGCACACCACAACCUAACCCCACAAAGAACUCUCACGAAGAUCAUGGGUUAGUACACAAAGCGUAAUUGACAAUGCUUACCAUACCAUGGGAUCGCUUGAUCCCUCUCGGUACAUCUUUUACGCUUUGUGUGUUGAUCAACUUGAUUCACUCUUUGACUUAGUCUUGAUCAACCUCUCACAUGACUAAUCUUUAGGUAAUUCCUUGAAUGGCACCUUGGUCAUCACAAACUCUCCUUGAAACCAACAAAUGGACUCCAAGAAAAGCCUAUGGACAAAUCCUUCAAAUAAAACUCAAGGCAACCAUUAGUCCAUAGAGAUUGUCAUCAAUUACCAAAACCACACAUGGGGGCACCGCAUGUCCUUUCAGGGGGGGUCGAUACCCCCUCCCCGAUAACUUCGACAUGAGGGGGGGGGGUCGAUAUACCCCCUCCUUGAUAACAUUUUUUCCCAUGUAUGUAUGUCGUCGUUGUCGAUAUACCCCCUCCUUUACCAAGUUAAAAGAGCGUUGUCGUCGAGGCCACCCUGAACCCUUUAAGCGUUGCCGAGGCCACCCCAUACCCUAGAGAAGUGUCGAGGCCAUUAAUUAAUAUAAUUCCUUGUUGUGAAUAGCUAUAGCUAGGUCUACAUUUGCCACUAAUAUAUCCAUCUGUCAUGUUUGUAUAAUAAUUGCCAUGCUGUAAUAUUUGCAGAAACUAUGGAGCACGGCCGAGACGAGGAAGCAGAACGGGUGUUGGGGGACAUAAUCGCAGCCGGAGCUGAUGUCAUGUCGUAUCUCAACGAAACCGAUGGUAUGGAAGCAGAGGGUGAAGAAGCAGGCUACGGUUAUCGAACAACGGAGGAGGAAGGACAUGAUUAUGAUGGCUCCGGUGACCGAAUGUCGGUGCAAGAAGGAGGCCGUGACGACGUCUCCGAUGACCGAACAGAGUCCGGCCAGGUAUAUAUAUUAAUUAAGCCUGUGCUGACUAGCUAAUUGAUGCAUUCAUUGUUUUGGUAUCUACACAUAUUAACUCUCGUCUUUCUUCUUAUUUCUAGCCCUCCCGAUCGAGCACAACUUCGGUAAAGAGACGAGGCCCGAAGAAAAAAUUGCGCUCAGAUGAAAGGUUCACGAUCAUAGCAAUCGCGCGCGAUGGCCAACCGAUUGAACCCCACCGGACCAAGGAGGCAUUUACUGCUCAGUGCGGGGUUCUUGUUAGGGACAUGAUCCCGAUCAGCAUCGAGCUAUGGAAUCAGCCUAAGGAUGAAGAGCUUCAAGUUUCUUUUGUCGAAGAUAGACAGAAAGAUGAUCUUUGGAAAGCGCUGAAGGUAAAUUUCACCCUACCGGAAGAGGAGGAUCCGGAGAAUCCAGUUAAGGAGCCAACGAUCAAGUCCUUUGCGUUCAAGAAGAUGGCAGAUCUAUUCAGGAGGUGGAAGAAUGAGCUGAAAGCAAAGUUUGUCGACAAAAAUAAGACACCAGAAUUCGUCGGCCGAUUUGAGAAGCUCAGAGAUCAAUGGGACGCAUUUGUGGCCAACAAGACAUCGGAGAGGAGUAAGAAGAUGUCAGCGAUAAACAAGAUAAAUGCUGCGAAGAAGGAGCAUCACCAUCGCACGGGGUCAGGUGGCUACCUCAAAGCCCGACCGUUGUGGGCCAAGGCGGAGAACGACCUGCUUGAUAAAGGGUCGAACCAGAGACAUUGAACUGGCCAGACCGUUGCUGGACUUGGUUCUUUGGGGUUGGCGGAACCUUGGACCCUGUAACAGGGAAGUGCGUUUGGACGAGGGAGCAAUUGUGAAUACCCCUCACGAAGCUUCAGCACUAUAUUAAUGCAGUGCAGGUAGGGACGCUCGUUCCAGACAGAGAAAAGGACGAGCUCACAAUGGCCCUCGGGAAUCCUGAGCACCCUGGACGGACACGAGGCACGCCAGGCUCCGUUCCGUGGAAGGCUGGGUUUCCGGACGCGGGCGGUUACAAAUGCCAAGAGAGGAGGAGGAAGGUGGAGCAGAGCGAACUGGAGGAGCUGCACGCAAGGGUAUAGAAGCUAGAGGAACGAGAUGCAGUUCGAAGCAAGCGACAUGCCGAAGCUACCCCGCCAUCUCAGCGGAGAAGCAGCGUGGCUUCCACCGAGCUGCUUCAGCUGGAGCCUGUCUUCACGGCUCCUGCUAGCUACCCCGUGGAUACUAUCACGGAGUCUCAACAUUGCCACCUUAUGACGCAAUGGCAGAAGUUCAAAGUCAAGGCGGCUGUCGGCUCUGUUAGACCUCCUGAACCCGGUGCAACUUUUCACUGCCGUCCAAUUCCAGAAGGAUAUGCUAGGGUGACGGUGGAAGAAAUAGCGGAGGGAUUUGAGGAGCUCGUGCUUGACCACCCUACCGGUGAAGGGGAGACUUGGCUAGGUUCUGCUUUGCAGACUCCAUGCCUAUGGCGGAAGGAGCUCAACAACCUUCCGAACUGGACGCCUCCGCCUCCUCCUCCUCCACCGGCGAGUCAGGGCACUCCGCCUCCUCCUCCGCCUGCUCCUCCGACGAGUGAUCAGGGCACUCCGCCUCCUUCUCAGGCGCGUGGCGGCACUCCGCCUCCUCCUCCGCCUGCUCCUCCGGCAAGUGAUCAGGGCACUCUGCCUCCUUCUCCGGCGUGUGGCGGCACUCCGCCUCCUUCUCCGCCUGCGCCGGCGCCCGACCAGCCAACCUCCUCCUUCUCCGCCUCGUCAGCAAGGGCGGAAGAGACCAGCCGCCGCUCCGGCUGCUCUGGCGCAUCGUAGUCCUUCUCCUCCGCCUCGUAAGCAACUAAAGAAGAAAGCCGCAGCCGCUCGGCCUGCUCCGGCGUCUAGCAGUACAGGCGGGAGGCAUUACAGAUUCGGUCCAUCUCUCGAGACUCCAGAGAAGUUACCAUACGAGAUGACCGAGAAGGAAAACGAGGAGAUCUGUCAAGCCCAAGUGAAGGACUACUUCGCAACGCAAAGAGCUAAGAGACAUCCACCUCCGGAGGAGAAGAUAGAUCCGGUGAAAGCGAAGCGCACUUUGGAUGCCCUGCAGCGACCACCAUCGUCUCCGCUGCAAACCAACUAUGAGCGCAUUACUGAAAAGACAUAUAAGGAAGCGAAGCAGUCGGGAAGUACUUGCAGUGACAAAAGGUUACAAGAACGAAGAACUGGGAAAAAAAUUCCCCAGCUCGGCGAACAAGCGAACCAAUCGUGCCCCCCGCUCAAGGUGUCUAGCGAUAUCGUCGCUAAUCAUCCGAGAAUCUUGCCCAGUACCAAUCCUGGAGAUUACGACGAUGUACAUUUUGAUAUAAUGGAGGUGGACGAAUUCAAAUACGAGUACGGGAAGCCUCUCGUCAAAGAUGGAACUACUCUAACAACGAUGAUGCGAAGAUUCCAUGAUUGGUACAUGGAAACCUGCAGAAAGCAGUCAGCUGGGAAGAAAAUCGAUACUUUAACGCUGAAAGUUAAAGAGGAUCAACAUGACCUCAUUGGAAUUGAGGAGUUGUCUGUUCCAUUUGAGGAGUUCUUCCAGUUUUUCAAUCUAAAGGCCCUCGAUAAAUUAACGGUCACUUGCUACUGUCUGUAAGUACUACUUCUGUCAUUAAGUCUCUAUAUAUAACUCAGCUCUUUCAUUGCAUGUAUAUAUAAUUAUUCUCACUAUAUUAUGUAGAUUAAAGAUCGUCGAAUGCAGAAAAGUUGAAAUGUAUGAUAUUUGGUUCAUUAACACAAAUUUCAUAGAUGAAUUUACGGUUAAAUUUCAUGCCGAAGAAACCGAGGAGAACUUGCUACGAUCGUUGGUAAUAAAUCAAAACAAAGAUACAAUAUUCUUUCCUUACAACUUCAAGUGAGUGUUACUGUCUUGUACACAUUCGGUUUCCCUUAAUUAUUAGUCGAGGUUAUAGUAAUUAAUGUAAUUGAUGAGUUAUAUGCAUGCGUGCGCAGUUUCCACUAUAUUCUCCUAGAGAUUAAGCUUGACCAGGGUCUAGUAAGCGUCUUAGACUCGAGAUGAAAAGAUCGCGAGGAAUAUGCGGACAUGUCUAAAAUGCUCGAGAAGUAAGUUGAAUCGAUCAUUAUCGCACCAUAUCGGCAACUUUGUUCAUUUCAUGAUAUCAAGUAAUUGUUUCUUUAUCUCGCAGGGUUUGGGAAGUAUUCACCGCACAAGUUUCGGGACUGCUGCGGGAUCUGCGAUGGAAAUUCCCGAAAGUAAGUACUACUAGCUAGCUAGUUCCGCGCAUCUCCCGUUGAUUCUAGCUACUUUCAUCAAUGCCAUUUAUAAAGCUUCAUUAUCAGUUUGGUUGACCUCUAUUUCUCGUAAAGUACUUGUGGCAGGAACCCGGGAAUAAUUACUGUGGAUACUACGUCUGCGAGUUCAUCUACAACGCGACGGCCAAGAAUAGGCGGGGCUACUCUAAAAGACAAUAUGAAGUGCGUAAGCAAAAAUAUUCACAAGUUUAUUUUAUUACCAUCAUUUCUGUUGAGUUUCAUUCAUAUAUAUUUAUUGACCCCCUUAUUCAAAUUAGAUGUGGGAGAUGCGGAAUGAACUCCUACCACAAGAUCGCAUGCGAGCAAUUCAAGAGGAAUUGGCUGGAUUCUUUCUUGACCACGUCAUCAAUAAAGCCGGAGAAUACCACCAUGCAUGUGGAAAUUGAGUUCAUAUGUUAGGGUAUUGUAAGAGAUUUUGCACAUUUAUAUAUAUAUAUGUAGCCAGUACUGUCGGUAAGAUAUACGAAAACUUGUUGUUCGAUCAAUCUCUCGGAGAGAAGGAGAGGUCGAUCACCUUUCUCUGUAUAUGUUCUUGACGAUCUUCUGUACUUAAUAGUUUCCUUCAUUUGCUUACUAGCUAGCUAGCGUGUCGAGUCCUCUCUAUACGUAGCGUCGACCAAGCACGGAGAUAAGAGAGGACACUUCUCUCUAUUAGCUAGUUAACACAAUAUAUGAAACCCCUAAAUUAACCCUACAAAACCCCCCAACCCCCCCUUUCAGAAAAAAACCCAGCCCCUGAAAUGCUGACACGUGGAUAGCUUUUGGUCCCGGUUGGUGACACCAACGGGGACAAAAGGCCCCCCUACCUGGGCAAGCGGCAACGGCCACGUGGAGCCCCAUCUGUCUCGGUUCCUGGGCGAACCGGGACUAAAUGGACAGGGCUUUAGUAACGAUCCUUUUGUCCCGGUUCGGAAACCGGGACAAAUGGCCCUCACGAACCGGGACGAAUGUGGUUUUCCUACUAGUGAGUUCAGCAAAAACUCCAAAACCGCGGACCCUGAUCUGUCCACUACUAUUGCCUGGUUAAUUACUUCAGUUAGCCGCAAGUGCUGCCACAUCUCCUUUGCAUGGGUGCAUGUGAAUAGCAAAUGAUGUAGGUCUUCUGCUCCUUGAUGGCAGAUCGGACAGGCUCCGUCACUACCAAUAUGUCUGUUCAUUAGUAUGGAUUUCAUGUGAAUAGCAAAUGAUGUAUGUCUGUUCAUUAGUACCUCAGGGUCUUGAUUGGUCCGAGACAACUGUCAGUUGAGACCAUUCAGAUCACUCUAACCACGUACCCUCGCGGGUACCUUCUUUUUUUUCGCGAAUACGCAAAUCUUGUGUAUCAUUGCAUUGAUAGGAGUAGAAUGAUUAUAAAUAGAGGUACAACACAUGACACGAACGCAUACAGACAUGAACAUGAUGUCCGGAACAGAGAGACAAGGGAUGCUCAACCCGAACUGAGGAUACAUCACAGCUAAACCAACCAAACCCGAACCAAGAAUGGCAAUGCCGAACCAGGAAGAAUUUCAACAUCACCUAAGCCAAAACGGGGGACACCGCGAGCGAACAAGAUAGCGCCUUCAAGAAGGAAGUCGACGCCAAGACGCCGUCGCCAUCCGGUCCGGAGGAACCAGACCUAGGGUUUCCCCUGAGCUUGAAGAGGGGCGCAGCUGAGGGCCUUGACAGCGCCUCCAAGAAGGAAAACGACAUCCGUAGACGCCGUCGCUGCUAGCAUUGGCAAGCCAAGCAAGGAUUUCUCCUUGGCCUGAGGCUGAACAAUCCCAUAGCCGCCUUAACAAGACCCACGCUUACGACCUACCUCUACCUCAACCUCUGGGGCAUUCAUGGCACUUUGCCCUACAUCUACCUCGACCACCGGGACAGAUCUCUCUCGAAAUGACUAUCGGCGACACCCAAAAACUACUGGGCUGAAACCAUCACAUUUGAGGUCGGCGACGUCGAAGGCAUCUAUGUUCUUCUGCUUAACUACUUGUUUCUCUGAACCUUUGAAUGUCUAAUGCAUAACUUCUCUGAAUAUUUUUUCAGUCUAGCAUGGUAAAUAUUUCAAUUUCAGCAAGACAUUCAUACCAUCCAUUUCAAGGCUGAUCAACUGAACACUCCUUUAUAUACGUCUUUCAUUUAUAUCUCUAACAAAUGCUCUACAAGUCUGGAGUUUCCCCCAGUAAAAAAACAAAAACUGGAACACUAGGACUAGUGCAGCUUCCAUGUGAAGAAUGUUGCAGUUACUACUGUAUAUACCAUACUACCUGCCUUGCAGAACUGUCAUGGCCAUGGUGUUCCUGGUGUUCUCGAGAUCGCUUCUCUGGCUCUUCUCUCCCAUCAUUUCGAUAAAAGCAGGCUGCACCGGCGUCGGGAGGGACAGCGACGACGCGCUUCCGUUCUCCAAGAUGGACACGACGGACGACAUGAGCGGCCUCCGGCUCGGGUCGUCCUCAACGCAGAGAAGCCCGACGUGGAUGCACAGCGAAGCCUCAUCCUGUGAGCAGCCCCCUGCCAUGGAUGGAUCCACCAGCUUCCCUGCCUUUCCUUCCCUCCACAGGCUCCAUGCCUAGAUGAAAAUAAUAAUAAUCAGAUCAACCAUUUAUAUGUAUGUGUUUUUUUUCAAAAGAUGAAUAUGAUUUGGGCAUGGCAUGGACUGAAAUGAAAAAGGCAUUGGCAGUUUUAGUUCGGGUGCUUACAUAGAUUAUGAGGCUGGGAAACUCCAUGAUGCCCUCGGUUGCGCUUACCCUGAUGCCACUCACAAUCUCCAGCAGCAGCACGCCGAAGCUGUACACGUCGGACUUGACGGAGAAGACGCCCUCCGUCGAGUACUCGGGGGCAAUGUAGCCACUGUCCACACAUUGCUUUUUCGUCAGAAUAGGUGCCACAUGCAUUUUUCUGUUAAAUGCUAACUGCUGUAUCAACUUAAAACAGAAAUACUUUUUCCUUUCAGAAAAUGCAGUCAGGUGUUGAGGUUACUCACUAUGUUCCGACGACUUUCCGGGUGUUGGCUUUCACCUGGUUGUCACCGAAGAUCUUGGCCAUGCCGAAGUCGGCGAUCUUGGGCCGCAUCUCCGCGUCCAGCAGCACGUUACUGGCCUUGAGGUCCCUGUGUAUCACCGUCAGCCUGGAGUCCUGGUGCAGGUAGAGAAGCCCCCUCGCCACGCCCUUGAUGAUGCCUAGUCGCGUCGGCCAGUCCAGCACCGCUUUCCUAGCACGGUCUGCAGAAACGAAACGUGAGAAACCAUGGCAAAAAAAAUAAAUUCAGUUACUUACUUGAGCUAUAUGAACAUUGUAUGUACCAAAGAGGAUAGCGUCGAGGCCUUUGUUGGGCAAAUACUCGUAAAUGAGCAGCUUCUCGGCCCCCUCGGUGCAGCAGCCGAGGAGGCGGACCAGGUUCCGGUGCUGCAGCUUGGCGAUCAGAAUCGCCUCGUUCUUGAACUCCUCUGCUCCCUGCUCUGAAUCCUUGCUCAGCCUCUUCACAGCGACCACCUGACCGCCGUCUAGUUUUGCCUUCCCAAUGGUAAACAGAAACAAGUAGUUGAGUGAGACCCUGAUUUUAUUUAUUUAUUUGGCCACUGAAUUUUGUGCUAAACUGACAGAACAUCCAAGUUCAGGUGACUGAUAGACAGGUAAAAGAUAGUAUACCUUGUAGACCUUGCCGAAGCCUCCGCGGCCGAUCAUGAGGGCCUUGGAGAAGUUGCCCGUGGCGGCGACGAUGUCGGCGAAUCGUAUGGACGGGAACUCGAGGUCUCCGGUGUGAUCUCCUUCACCGAUUUCGCUCGACGUGUUUGUGGUCCCCGUCCUUGUCCCGGGCAUUAGCGUCUUCUGGCUCUCGGUUUUCCUUCUCUUGUCUGUAAAAAUUGUUGUGAUGAGCAUCUUGUCUAAGAAUGAAAUGGUUGGGCAUGGCAUGUUUAGAGGUAAGAAAAUGUAACUGUGCUACCUCUGAAUCUGCAGAACCAUAGAAAUAAAAUGCAUGUCAGCAGCAGCACAGCUGCUGACACCGGCACUGCAAUCUUCACUGCAUUUCUGCUGGCCUUUCCACCUGCACAGGCAAAUACAGGGCCAAAGUUUCAUGAAACAACCAAUUUGGUCAUAGGGGCGAAUGUUUUCGGUUUGAAUUCAGAAAAUUUCAACAGAAUUCAGAAAAAGAAGUUAUAUUCGUGUUGUACCUGGCGAAGUGGAAGCAGCAGCGACGGGCACGCGGAGGUAGAGCGUCUCGCCGCCCCAGCGCGGGCCGAUCAUCUGCGCGUCGACCAGCUCCCCUGCCCACACGAUGCACCGGCUCAGUUCCCCCUUGGCGCUGCUGCUCUGCAGGUUGGCGUACGCGUACGCCUCGCACGAGCAGUUGGCGGCGCACCUCGCCGCGCACUCCUCCGCGCUCCGGUUGCCGGUGUCCAGCGAGAACUUGUCCGGCACCUUCAUGGUCGGCAUCGGCACGAAACCCACCCCCAUGCCGCCGCCGCAAGGCGGCAGCGCCUCCUUCCGCCGGCACCCCUGCUCGAACACGCCCGCGCCCCACUCCGACGCGCUCGCCGGCUCGAAGCCGUCGAGGCACCUGCACGCCGCCGGCGCCGCCGUGACGUCGCAGUACCCGUACGCGCCGCAGCGCUUGUAUGUGCUGCACCCGCUCGACGGCCACGAGAGGAGCGUGGCCCACGCCGACACGGUGCUGUUCCAGCUAAGGAGCUGAAACCUGCCGGUGCUGGUCACCACGUACCGCGUGGGCGCCGCGCCGCCGGAGAGGGUGAAGGCGAUGGAGAUCUCCUCCUCGGUGUCGACGAUCGCCGUGUAGAGCACCGUGCCGGCGCUGAGGUACAUGCUGGCGACGGCGUACCCCUUCCAGACGGGCGUGCGCCAGUAGGGCCGCGUCCCGUUCCACAUGAGCAGCUGCAGCGACGUGCCGGGGUCCAGCCCGUAGGAGAAGCUCCCCGGCGCCGGGUCGCCGGGGGAUUUCCAGGACACGAUCCGGUUGCCCUCCCCCGUCAGGUGGCUCAGCCGCACCUUCAUCCCCGGGACGAACGUGUCCGUCGGGUGGUCGAAGCUCUGCCACGCCACCGUGCCGUUCGGCGACCGGACGACCAGGUUGCCCUCGUUCGUCAGCAGGGCCGGCGGCGGCGACGAGGACGAGGAGGACGAGCCGCCCGCGCCGGGAGUCCUCCAGAGCACGCGGCCGUCGGCGUCGGACACGACGAGGCUGGAGUCGUUGGCCAACGCGAGCGUCGGGGAGCCGGCGGCCGGGGCGUCCCGGUUGCCCACCCAGACAACUGUGCGCGGGGCGGGGAUGCUGUUGUACCAUAUGCCAAGAUACCGCCUCGUCGGACCUGCGGCGUCGUCCGGGGAGAAGAAGCCGAGAGCGAACGCGCCGCCGUCCGACACGAGGGUUUGCUCCACAAGGAGCCUCUCGCCGACGGCCAGCUGGUCCUCGGCGGACGCGGACGGGAAGCAGACGGCGACGAUGAGGACGAGGACGGCGACGGAGCGUGACAGGUCCAUCGAUCAGGUUCAAGGUGCGUGCAAGCACAUUACCUCUCCGGCGACAAGGGAAGCGCGAUCAGUGAAGCUAGCCAGCUACCGCCUUGACAUUUGAUCAUUCUUGUUCUUGGCCUGCAAGGCGCGCGAUGUAGCCUAGCCAGCCACACGGUGACGCGAGCUUGUGAAUUCAUAUUGACUAGUUUCAGCAUGAACCCACGGAGGUGCAGUGCACAUGGGCGCAGGUGAACUGGUCUGGUCUACUGUGUGUGCGCGUGACGCGCAAGUGCAUACCGCGACCUACCUUGUCCAACAACGACACUUGAUUCUGUGGUGUUUUGGCACGAGGGCGCGACCGAUCGGGUUGACACGGUGGAAUUGUUGACAAUGUGGGCGAAUCUCGAGGUUCUCACCGGCGGUCGGAUCUCGCUGUUCUCGCCGCCGGCAUGCCCAAGGAGGGAAGGAAGGCUGGUCGAGCGUGCCCGGGUUUUCCCGGCCGUGCUGGGCUCCUCCUUGUGUCGUUCACCUUCCCGGUCCGGAUGUGUUGUAGCCGGAUGGGAACCUUUCCCGCAUUUGGUUCAUCGACGGAACCGACGGGGGCACCGGAUUCGAUGGCAACCGCAAGGCAGUCUGUGGUGCUAGGGGUUUGCCCUUCCCAUUCGGUGUCAUCAGGGAUGGGGACGGAGUCGAUUCUGGCAGAUCUUGGAUAGGGGGUUUAGAGCUAGUAGCAUAGACGUGAUGGUAACGCAUACAACGGAUUUUACCGAGGUUCAGGCUCUCCGAGGAAAUAAAACCGUAAGUCAUGCUUAUGUUGUAUUGAUUUGGGAUGAAGUACAAAGUAUAGGUUGAUCUGGCACAUGAUCGUUGAUAUGUCUAUGUCUAGAUCUAAAGACCUAAGUUGUCAUAUCUAUCGACUAGCCCGGCCUAGGAUAACAAAAGUCCUAAUCAAUUACAUCGGUACAGAGGAGUCCACGAAUAGGAGUCCUUGUCUUAAACGAUAAGACUUCUUGAUUCUUCUAAGAUUGCCAUGGGCCGCUCAAAGUGGCUGAGGACAGAACUGACAAGGAGGUAGUCCUCGCCUGGUCUGCCCGGCGAGGAGUCGAUAUAGUGAGAGGCUCCAUGUGUGAGACACCAUCAGUAGCCCCUGAACCGGUCUUCAAGUCUGGCCACACCUCGGCUUCCCCAAGCUGCUGGUCGUCUUUGGCCGCCGGUCUUGAAACUUUCAAUGAAAACUUUCCCUGAUUAGUGCCUUCUUGCAGCCGAGUUUCGACGCGGUACUGCAUCCAAGGUGACGAAGACCACAUUGAUCUUGAAAACUUAAAGGAAUUUAGCCGAGUUGCAUGCCGGAAAACUUUCGUGCGCAGCCCGCUACUCGCAGCCGGCGUCCAUGUCGGACUCGUUUCGAAGUGGUGCGCAUCACCUCGGUCUUGAGUUGUCGAUCUAGAUGGCCGGCCUCCGCGGAAAAAGGUUUUCUGCCAAGCCGGUAUCCACGAACUGAUUUUUGGCAGAAUUUUUUUUCCAUUGGUACAGUUUAUUCUACGCCGAGAUAUAUAGCCAGUAGCCCUAAAGGUGUGCGCCGGCCUAAAUUCCGGGAUGCACCCGAAGUAUAAAAUUAAACUACUAAUCCCAAUAGACCCCGAAACUCAGGUUAAUUCACCGAAUCGGCUUGAGGAUCGUAUUUGUAGAGAAUGAUUUGGUGCAUCGAUAAUUGAUUGAUCGUGCACUAGGCACAUAUAUAUAGGUACAAGGGGUGCGACCGGUAUCUUGUCUCCUAAGAUACACGUACAUACAGAGGGAGACAGAUACUACAGGUACUGCAUACAGAACCCAGACCUACGUACAUGUACACAUGUUCAACACCCCCCCGCAGUCGAAGCGUCGCCAGUGACGCAAAGACUGGACCGAAAACCCUCGAAAGUCAAGGUGGGUAGUCCCUUCGUCAUCACAUCGGCGAACUGCUGAUCGGUGGGCACAUGUAGAACACGAACACGACCAAGUGCGACGUGCUCCCGGACGAAGUGGAUGUCGAGCUCGAUGUGCUUCGUCCGUCGGUGAUGGACAGGGUUGGCAGCGAGGUACACCGCGGAGACGUUAUCACAGUAGACGAGCGUCGCCUUGGUGACCUCACAUAGCAACUCCUGGAGGAGCUGUCGUAGCUAGGAACACUCCGCGGCGGCGUUGGCCACGGCCCGAUACUCGGCCUCGGCGCUCGAUCGUGAGACCGUGGGUUGUCGUUUAGACGACGACGAGAUCAGAGAGGGCCCGAGGUAGACGCAGUAGCCGGAAGUGGAGCGUCGAGUGUCGGGACACCCAGCCCAGUCGGCGUCAGAGUAGGCGACAAGGCUGGUGUCAGGCGAGGCCGUCAGGGUGAGACCCAUGGCUGUGGUGCCACGUAUGUACUGAAGAAUACGUUUCACGAGAGCCCAAUGGGUGUCACGAGGAGCAUGCAUGUGAAGGCACACCUGCUGGACAGCAUACUGAAUGUCCGAACGCGUCAGUGUGAGAUACUGAAGCGCACCGACGAUGGAGCGGUAGAAAGGAGCGUCGGACCCCGGAGAGCCCUCGACGACGGACACCUUAGCCUUCGUAUCGACAGGCGUGGAAGCAGGCUUGCAAUUAAGCAUGCCGCGCGCUCCAGAAGCUCAUAGGCGUACUUCUGCUGGUGCAGAAAGAAACCAGUAGCCCGGCGCACUACCUCGAUGCCGAGGAAGUAGUGAAGAGCCCCCAAGUUCUUGAGGGUGAACUCGGUGCCGAGGCGAGCUGUGAUCUGCUGAAGAAGCGCUGGCGAGGACGCAGUCAGGAUGAUGUCGUCGACGUACAGGAGGAGGUACGCGGUGGCGUGGCCCUGGUGGUAGACAAACAGGGAGGCAUCGGACCGUGUGGACCGGAACCCCUGUUGCUGGAGGAAGGCCGCGAUCCGCUGGUACCAGGCCCGAGGUGCCUGCUUCAACCCGUAGAGACAACGGGAGAGCAAGCACACAUGGUCUGGAUAGUCGGUGUCGACGAAACCAGUCGGCUGCUGACAGAACACCUGCUCGUCGAGAUGGCCAUGCAAGAAAGCAUUAGACACAUCGAGCUGGUGAACAGGCCAGGCGCGAGAAACAACAAGCUGGAGAACGGCGCGAAUCGUGCCCGGUUUAACAACCGGGGCGAAGGUGUCGGUGAAGUCCACGCCAGCGCGCUGGCGAAAACCACGCACCACCCAACGCGCCUUGUAGCGCUCGAGAGAACCGUCGGGACGAGUCUUGUGGCGGAAGACCCACUUGCCAGUGAUGACAUUGGCACGGGGUGGCUGCGGGACAAGCUGCCACGUACGGUUGCGCUGCAGGGCGUCAAACUCCUCGCGCAUCGCAGCUAGCCAGUUCGGAUCCCGAAGGGUUGCGCGAGCGGAGGUGGGGAGCGGUGACGACAUCGAGGUAGAAGCCGCGCAUGCGUACUCGUCCGACGGGUAGCGCGUGCUGGGACGCAGGGUCCCAGUCCGAGCCCGAGUGACCACACCGGGGAGGGGUGCAGCCGUGGCGACGNNNNNNNNNNNNNNNNNNNNNNNNNNNNNNNNNNNNNNNNNNNNNNNNNNNNNNNNNNNNNNNNNNNNNNNNNNNNNNNNNNNNNNNNNNNNNNNNNNNNNNNNNNNNNNNNNNNNNNNNNNNNNNNNNNNNNNNNNNNNNNNNNNNNNNNNNNNNNNNNNNNNNNNNNNNNNNNNNNNNNNNNNNNNNNNNNNNNNNNNNNNNNNNNNNNNNNNNNNNNNNNNNNNNNNNNNNNNNNNNNNNNNNNNNNNNNNNNNNNNNNNNNNNNNNNNNNNNNNNNNNNNNNNNNNNNNNNNNNNNNNNNNNNNNNNNNNNNNNNNNNNNNNNNNNNNNNNNNNNNNNNNNNNNNNNNNNNNNNNNNNNNNNNNNNNNNNNNNNNNNNNNNNNNNNNNNNNNNNNNNNNNNNNNNNNNNNGGGGGCCGCGACGGGGGCCGCGGGGGCGGCCGAGGAGGCCGCUGCGUCGGGGGCCGCGACAGGGGCCGCCGGCGCAGGGAGCGCGGGCAGGGCCGGACCCGGGGCGCGGCUGGGCGGUCCGCCAAAGGUGGAGGCAGGGGCGAACCGCGCCGCAGGAGACGCCGAAGGUGAUGGUACCUGCUGAAACGGGAACACGAGCUCAUCAAAGUACACAUGCCGCGAAGUGAAAACGCGGUGGGAGACUGGAUCAUAGCACCGGUAACCUUUGGUGUUGGGAGGAUAGCCAAGGAAGAUGCAAGGAAGGGACUGGGGCGCGAGUUUGUGAGGAGCAGUGGAUGCAGUGCUAGGAUAACAGAGACACCCGAAAAUGCGAAGACCAUCAUAAGAUGGAACCGCACCGAAGAGGAGCUGGUGAGGGGUGUAGUUCCAGCGGGAACGACAGGGGCGAAUGUUAAUGAGGAGGUUGGCGGUCGCGAGCGCGUCCGGCCAGAACCGAGGAGGCACAUAGGAGUGGAAGAGCAACGUGCGGACACAGUCGUUAAGCGUGCGAAGGGCGCGCUCGGCGCGACCAUUUUGCUGAGACGUGUAGGGGCAGGUGAGACGAAAGAUGGUGCCGUGGGACGCAAGUAAAUUGCGGACGGCGACGUUGUCAAAUUCCUUGCCGUUGUCAGUUUGCAAGGCGAGAAUAGGACGACCGAACUGUGUGGUGACAUAUGAAUAAAAAGUGUUGAGUGUGGCAAGAGCGUCGGACUUGCGACGGAGAGGGAAGGUCCACACAUAAUGAGUAAAAUCAUCCAAUAUCACCAGAUAGUAUAAGUAGCCCGUGUUGCUAGCAACCGGGGACGUCCAAACAUCACUAUGCAACAACUGAAACGGAAAGGUGGAAAUGUUUGUAGACUCGCUAAAGGGAAGACGAACGUGCUUGCCAAGACGGCAAGCCUCGCAAGAGUGAUCGUCGAUUUUAUUACAUGAGAAAGAAAAACUGUGAAGAAUCUGACGCAUAGCGGUGGAGUUGGGAUGACCGAGACGGGCAUGCCAAAGAUCGACACUGGCGGCGAAGGCGGCGGGGCGACGGGUGGUGGUGGCGCCGGAGGGAUGCACUGGAUAAAGCUCGUCCGGGCUAUCACAUCGGUGGAGCACCAUCCGUGUACGGGCGUCCUUCAUAGAAAAACCGAUAUCGUCAAAUUCAACAGUUAUAGGAUUCUCACGAGCAAGGCGACGAACGGAAACAAGAUUAGUGACUAAGUCAGGAGACACAAGAACAUUAGACAUAUGCAUAGGAGUAGAAGUAGAAGGAAAAGACAUAUGACCGACGUGAGUAAUGGGUAGGGAGGAACCGUUACCAACGGUGAUACAGGUGGGAGUAUGAACGGGAGUGGCAGAUGUGAGGUUACCGGGAUGAGCAGUCAUGUGAGCAGUGGCACCCGAGUCCAUGUACCAGUCACCACCGCCACCAUAGGAGCUCGGGGACGGGGCGGAGUGCAGUGCGGCGAGCAAGGUCGGGUCCCACGGCGGCGGCGCCUGAGGAGGGUAGAACCCUCCGUAGGCCGGCACGGGAGCAGCCCCGAAGGCCGGAGCGGCGGCGGCGGCGCCGUAGGAGGGCACGGUCCCAUGGGUCGGCGUGGCGAAGAGGGCCUGGUGACCCGCCGGGCGGGGCCCAAGGAUGCCCGGAGCCGGAGCCCGAGGGACCGGCAUGGAGUAGGCGUGGACGACGCCGGUCCACGGGUUGGUGCCGUACGUCCAUGGGGGAGUCACCUGCUGCUGCUGACGGCCCCCCCGGCGCCUGGUGCUGCUUGCGGCCGCUCCCGCGGUGGUUGCCGCGGCGCCCGCCACCCGGCUGCUGGGGGCCAGCGGGAGGGGCGGGAGGCGCAGGCGGGAGGGGGAAGUACCCCGGAGGCGCUGGUGGCGGCGGCUGUUGGCGCGGCGCGGGUGGGGCGGUCGGUGGAGGGGCGCCGCGGGAGGUGCCGGUGGCGAGGGCGUGGUGCUGCACACGCUUCUUGACCCCCUUCAUCCGGCGCUCCUCCAACCUCAAGUACGCCACAAACUUGGGGAAGGAGGGCUCUGGCAUCAAGGUGAGGUUAGAGGCGGCGUUGCCGAAGUCCUCGUUGAGGCAGGCGGUGAGCGUGCUGAGGAGGAGGUCGUCGUCCACCUUGGCUCCAAUGUCACGGAGCUCGUCCGCCAACGUCUUCAGGCGGCGGCAGUAGUCAUCAAUGGACUGUUCAUCCUGGUGACAAUCAAAAAAUUCCUGCUGCAAAAAAACGCGGCGCUGAAGCUGGUUGUCAGUGAAGAGGCCGUUCAGCUUGACCCACAGGGCGCGGGCGUCGUCGCCGGCACUCACGACCGUGUGGAACAAGUCCUUGGAGAUGGUGGUGAAGAACCACCGGAUGAUCGUGGCGUCGAUCGCGGUCCACUCGGCGUCGGCCACCAUGGUGCGGGAAUCCACGGUGCCAUCCACGUGAUCCACGAGAUUGUUCUCGCGGAAGAGCAGCGUGAAGUACGUCUUCCACGCGAAGUACGUGGAGUUGGAGGCGUCGAGGGUCACGGGGACGCGUGUUUGGAUGUUGAUGUCGCGGAUCUCGGCAGGGUCGACAGCGAAGGGGUUGGAGUAGGUGGAGGCGUUGGAGGACAUGGCGAUGAGAUCGUGGGGAGGGAGGCGGCGCGGCGGCAGGAGGCAGGCGGCGCGGCAGGAAGGGGCGGCGCGGCGUGGAGGCGCGCGGUGGGGAGGUGGCGCGCACGGGAGGAGGGGUGGUGGCGGCGGCUUGGGGCGGCGGCGGCGGCAGCAGGAGGUCGCGGCGGCGGCGGCGGCCCGAGGCGGCGGCUAGGGUUAGCGGAAGCUGGAGGAUCGACUUGCGAUAGAUACCAUGUAAAGAAUAAUUUGGUGCAUCGAUAAUUGAUUGAUCGUGCACUAGGCACAUAUAUAUAGGUACAAGGGGUGCGACCGGUAUCUUGUCUCCUAAGAUACACGUACAUACAGAGGGAGACAGAUACUACAGGUACUGCAUAGAGAACCCAGACCUACGUACAUGUACACAUGUUCAACAGUAUUCUUGCUUGGUAGCGCACUUUUAGGGAAAGUGCAUUGUGUGCGUGUGUGGGCAUGAUGGACGCUGCCCAAUGAUGGUGGCCCUGGGCUAGCACACAGUCCAUCUGUCAUAGACCUUCCGACCAGGUCGUCUGGUUUCGAGCCAUCCGGGAAGAUCAUCCUCGUCCUCGUGGGACGAAGACGCCGACGGUGGGCCCGAAUGGACUCUCACAUGCGGGCCAGCGCCAGCAAGGCAUCUGCGGGUGCGUCCGACACCGCCCGAUCACGGUGGCCCCGGGAGAGCCCCACGGUCCACUCGUCAUGGACCUUCCAGCCGGGUCACCCAGGUCCGAGCGGAUCGAAGGGCUCGGAGCCGCCUUGGGAGGCUCCCGCCGCAAACCAACUGGCAACGGAUGGCCAGGAGCCUUUCUUUGCCCUCGAUGAGCCCACAAAGGCGGAUACUCCAGCAUCCUUUAUAGAAGUACUAAGAAGGGAUCUCAGAUUUGGAAUGGGAUCCUAAAGUGCGAAGAGAUUCUCAACGUUGGGGUCCAGGUUCUCCAUGGGCAACGAAGAAGAUGCAAAAUACUGGCUUGUCCAAUUGCUUAAUCAAACUCCACCCUCUGCCAAGUAUCCAGACCUUUUCAUGAUUUCUUUUGAAUAUGAAAAUUUUCAUUUUUGUCAAAGACGUCUUUCAAGACAACCUCAUCAUUUGUUGCCUUCCUUAGGAACCUCACCGGGGUAGAGAAUGCCUCCUAGGAAGCUCUCCUAAUCGACCCUGCCCCGAUCCGGCUCUCUGCGGAGAGAGAUGUCAUUGACUGAGACCUUGAAGCGCCAGUUAGCUUCAUGGUUAAGUAUGUUGAUGCGAAACUUGUCCAUGCGCCUCCAAUCAGGUAUUUCAAGGCCCUUCGGCCUUCUUCGGUCCAACUAACAAUCAAAUUCUUUGCAAGCGGCCAGAGAUAGAUUCCCCUUGGCUAUCAACCUCCAAAACACAACAUGGGCCAGGGAAUGGUCUUCGUGCCCUUUGCGCUGAUCCUGAAGAUAUAUGCCAACCACAUUGUUCUUCUUUGCUUGCUGACCAAUUUUUUGGGCAAUCACGGGCAAUAAUGUAGGCUUGCACGAGGGCCUUCAUGGCCUUAGCUUGGGCGCUUUGGACGCAUUGUCAAUAAUCGUAGGCUUGCGUGAGGGCCUUCACGCCGACUACAUUUUAAACGACGUAUCUUUUUUCAGUAGUGUAGCCCUUUGGGAAAGAGGAAGAACUGCGAGGAGGCCAGAGUGGUUCUUAUAGUAAGAUCAAGUCAAUCCACACCAUCAACAGAAAAACCUCCUAAUCGGAGGGCCUAGUUUAGUUAAUCUCAUGUUAUAGUCCUUUUAUUUGGCCGCUCCAUGUUGAGUCCAACAUGUAACCAUAUACUAUGUUUUUUUUAGGUGAAGGAUACCAUGUUUUGUUGUUGUUUCUGUCGUGGUGCAACCUUGAUCUUUUGGCUUUAUUAAUUUAUAUAAACCAGGCGUUACUUGCGCCUUCGUUUUAAAAGAACAGCUAGCAAACCACUCCUUGACAUUUCGUCUCGGCCGGCCGUGUGAUCCAUCUUGCCCUCCAAGGCGGUGUAGCCACACGAACUUUCUGAAGUCAUAUUGACUAGCUUCAGCAUGCAUCCAGACUCCAGAGUCGCGGAGAACGACGGAUCGAUCGAAAUUUGUUUGGCCUGCAUGCAAUCGAUUCGUGCGCGAGUGCUGACGUGGUGUAGUGCAUGGCGCCAGGUGUACGAUGGAGCUAGCCUGGUGACCUGGUUGACAUUUCAUCUGGCCAGUAGGUGAUCCUUCUUGUUCUUGGCCUGCAAGGCGACGUGGCCACACACAGUGACGUGCCUUUUCUUUUUUCCUGAAACAACCAGUCGAUUUUCGUUAAAGAAACCGCCAAAUGUCCUACAAUAAAGAGAGCAAGAAGAGAAAAAUAAUAUAAUCUGCUGCUGUGGGGUACGAAAGAGUUGGAGAAGAAAGCGAGAAGCCCUCCUCUGCUGCUGUGGCCAGAUCCUGACUGAGGCGUGGAGACACAUUUUAGCCUCUGGUCUUUGGCAGUGAGCCUGUAGUAUCACCGUAGGCCUUUGCAGAGCAGUAGCUGUGUGCGUUCGCUAUUUCCUUUUCUGGCUUUAGCUAUGUUCUGGCUUUGUAAUAGCGUUGUGACGCUGCUGUCCGUCGUGAGCUACCUGAUGUAAUACACUCUGGAUUCGUUGUUUCGUUUCUACUGAAAUGGAACAGGGGCACAGCCCUUUUCUUCUAAAAAAAUAAAAAAAUAAAAUCUCUUAAAAAAGACUAUAAUAGCAUAGUUUUUCUUCUUCUGAAAUACGCAUAAGCAUGCGUAUCAAUCACUCGUAGAAAAAGAGGGUGAAAUAACCCGUCCACCAGUAUUACAUACGGGACUACUCGCGGCUCAUCCACCCAUACAACUUUUCGAAAACUAAAGGUACAUCCUCCCUAAACUUCCCCGCCGUGAUCCAAUCAGCCCCUUCUUCCAAUAUCUUGGCAAUCGCGGUCCUAAUAGAUGGGGUGACCUUCCCAACACCACGUCGUUGCGAUGCUUCCACAAUUGCCACAAGACCAAGGAUACAAACGUGUGGAGGUCUUUGCGGAGUCUGGGCCCUUGUUGGAGUGAUGUGCACCCUUCUUCCUUUCUAGACAUGUUCUAACUUCUUGUGGGCAUUCACGGGCAAUAACGUAGGCUUUGUGUGGGGGCCCUCUGCGGCCUUAGCUUGGGUGCUUUGGAUGUGUCGUUGUGGGAAUUGUGUUGAAUAUAUUUAUACAAGGUAGGUUGCAGUUGGACUUGAAUUUAAACUGUGUAUAGAAAGGGUAGUAACAAUCUCCUAAUAGGACACUUGUAUCUCUAGGCCACUUAUAUAUGUGGGGGUAGACACACGAUGUAACAUAUGCCAACAUAAUAGCACAUGCACGCAGGGGGAGCCAGCGGUAUUGUGACGGUGUCACGGGGAGGAGAUCACGUAGUCAGGCCCCGAGGAUGUAGGCAUAUUGUUGGACCUCAUUAACAAAUCUCGUUGUCAUGUUUGUUGUGAUUGCUUGAUUCUCGGAUAAUUGACUAGUGCCUCUGAUUAGUUCUAACUAUCGUGACAACCUAGCCAUCGAGAUUACCAUCCCUAAUUGUUAUGUUGACUACAUUUUUAAACAACAUUUUUUUGCAACAGUGAAGCCCUCUAGGAAAGAGGAAGAACUACUAGGAAGCAAAAGUGGUGCUUUUUUUGCGAGAAACUUUCAAUGUAUUCAUCUUCGAUCAUGGCAGUACAAAGAACAACAGGGGUAAUAAAAAACUGCAACCAUGUCCGUGGACCACCUAGCGAUGACUACAAGCACUGGAAUGAGCCGAAGGCGUGAAGCCGUCAUCGGCUCUCCCUCACCGGAGCCGGGAAAACCUUGUUGUAGUAGACAGUCGGGAUAUCGUCGAGCUAAGGCCCCAUAUGACCAGCGCACCAGAAUAGCAACCAUCGCCGAUGAAGAAAGUCGUACAUCAGAAGGAUCAAACCUAUAAACAUGUAAACAAAGACGAACCAAGAACGGAUCCAAAUAGUUCCACCGAAGACUAGCACCAACCGAAUCCCGCAAGAUCUGACGGAGACAAACCUCCACACGCCCUCCGACGGUGCUAGACGCAUCAUCGGGACGGGGAUAGAACGUGGGAGACAUUAUUCCUACUAAGGGACAUCGCCGCCACCCUACAACCCCAACCAGGACACCGAUUCUAACAAGAACGAUAAAGGGGUCCCUCCCGCCGGCGGGGGCCAAGAUCCUUUGCACCUCCAUGGCCUAGAGGCCAUGGGAGAUGGGACGGACCGGCGGCGGCGCCGACGGGAGGAGAAGAGCUUUUCUUGUGGAGGAGGAAAGAGAUCCGAUAAAUAGAGUGGUGCUUAUUUGUUUUUUGAAUAAAAGAGGGUGUUUCCCUCCGAUUUCAUUAACGAAACCAAACCAGGAGCGACCAUAUUUCCCGUUCAAACUAGUCGGGUUCGAAACAACUACAAGGUCCAAAAAUAAAAGGCAUACAUCACUACAUAGGUUUCUUAACAGCAAACAAGAUAUUACAAAGCUAAAUCGAAAGGGGAAGGCUCCUGGAACAAUACAGCUGAAAUCAGCAUCCCAGCCGCUGCACUCCAAGCCUCCAUCCUUGCGACGUCUUGUAGAUCUACUUGCGACCCGCUCGAUUAGUUUUGCUCCCAGGAUCAGUAGUUUUUGUUCUGGCUUUUUCUCUGCAAAACAGACCACUCAGGAAUCCAAUUUGCACAUAAUUCUGAUAAAGAUCAUUGGGUCAUAUUUUUUUGAUCUAAAUAUAAUAUCAUUUCUACAUUCCAGAGAUCCCAGAAUAUUGCAGAAAUCCCAACUAGGACUAGAUUUUUUUAGGUUUUCUGAAGGUUUUGAUCCAAAUAUUCAAGAAAUCACUUGAAUUUUUUUGGAGUUGUUCUAAGAUCGAAGGCACAUUUGACUAGACUCCAACACUACUGGGGAAAACCCUACAAGUAGCUCUUUUCUAGCUACCAGUAGCGUUGGUGCCCGCGCUAUCGGCGCUACAACUAUUCUUUAACAGUAGUGCUUGUUUGACCUAGCGCUACUGGUAACUUCAGAUACUAAUAGCGAUGCUUGUAAUCUUUUAGCCCGUGCCACUGCUAAAAUUUAUGUUUUUCUUUGCAUUUUGGCCCUGUACAUGUUUAAACAGUAUAUCUUUUAUAUAAUAACAACUCAUCAUGAACUAGUCUGUUUAAACAGCAUAUUCAUUACCACUAGCUAGUCAUCACCACCAAACAAAUCAUCAUGAUCAACAUCAUCAUCAUAUCAAUAAAAACUCUUGCAUCAUAUUCAUCACCGCGCCAACACUAGCUAAUAAUCAUCAUAGUCAUUACCACCAACACUAUAUAAUCAUCAGUCAUAGUCAUUACCACCAACACUAGCUAAUAAUCAUCAUAGUCAUUACCACCAACACUAUCUAAUCAUCAUAAUCAUAGUGUAGCACAUCAUCAUCACUAGCUAAGGUAAAAUAGCAUAAAACAUGUGUAGCACUCCUGCUUCAUCAUAUUGGAGAAUGCAGAUGAACUUGGCUCCUAAUUGUGGGUUGUGCUUUUGAUUGCUGCCCCCUAAUACUUCUCUGCUGCGAUCCUUCACAAUUUUGCUCCAGUCUUUGACUAUUAAGACUUGCUCGCUUUGAGAAAUCAUGAAUGCACUCAUGUGCAAUGUACGAUGUCUUGGCCGUAAGCUAAUCAUUGUCAUGCGACCUUUAGGCAUGAUCCAACGAGGCACAACAUUCAUCGGGAGUCCCUAUUGAAGAACAUCGUAGUAACAUACUUAGCAAUGAAGUUUAGCUUAAAAAAUAAUGUAUGCAAAAGAUGCACUGAGGAAAAAUAGUAAAAAUCUUACCAUCCUUCCUAAAUAUAUGUGAUCAUAGUUCAAUACGCACACUAGUGGUUGCACGUAUCGAGUACUAAUAUUUCGAAGUCCAGGAAAAUAACCUUUCUUGACGGUAUCAAGAUCCUCAAGCCAUGAAACAUAAUGACUUAUCUCCUCACAGUUUAGUUCAGCCCCGGGAAAGUAGUAGGUUAUGUCCACCAAGUCUCGUACAUGUUCUUGAAUGGAAAUAAGCUGCCAAUAAAAAUAAGCUGUCAAUAGAAACAUGUUGCUGCUUUGGGGGGCACACAACAACAAGUAGAGCAAUUUUAACAUUUAUGCAAAUGGCAUGGGCAUGUAGUAGACAUGGCAAGCUCCAAAUUACUCCAUUGGAACAAAUUGUAUAUGAGGUCUAGAUUUGAUGGAAACCAUCAAGGCAAGAUUGCAAGUUGUAACAGUUUUCAGCAGUUAACAGCAUGAAGCACUCUUGCAACAAAUAUUACAACAUUUAGACGAAUCCUAACAUGAAUGCAAAUGCCCAGUCAAAGAUGCAUAUAUAGACGUAGAUGCAUAUAUGAUGUUAACUAGUUGUCAACUAUUUUUAAAUAAACAAUAUAAAUUACUUAAUCAAUAUGGUUGAGAAACUCACGUAGAGGUAGAACUGCAGGGGUCUGCACAUCGACCCAGAUGUCGAUAUUACCUUCAAUUUCAUCUUCAGGACGAAUAUCGAAGGUGAUAAGCAUACCCGGCUUAAAUGCAUACGCCUUGCAUAGUGCUCUCCAAUUUGAGCAUUCAAAAUAGGAGUAGUUCUCUGCAUUGUAUAAUUUUACAGAAAAAACAUAGCCAUGGCCAGUAUUCAAGUGAACUCUCUUUACCUCCAUACUGCACAUAUCUGAGAAGUUAAUCGUAUCCAAGACAUACAUUCUUGCAUGGUAGGGGAUACGCUAGUAGAAUUGUAAAAAAAUAAAAUUAUAAGUUAGAGCAAAAGAAGCAGAAGUCAUGCUUAAUUAUGAAAAAAGACUUGUGUCGUUGUGACUUACUGUAUCCACUUCAAAGGUCUCAUCCAGCUUGAUGCUGAAGCACCUACCACCUACCAUGUGAGGCCUGUCGCACAGACCACACUCAUCUUUGCAGUACUCACACAUAGCGAAUUCCCUUUCGUCGUCAGACAUUUCCUAUGUUCAUAGUUGAAAUAAACGUGCAUUCAAUAAGCAAAACUAAAUCAGAAAAUAAAUUAGUAUUCAAAUUAGCAUGCAUUCAAUAAGCAAAAUUAAAUCAUCUCUUGCGUCCGUACAUCGUCGAAUAUUAUCACUAAUACAUCUCGAAUAGUAUCAUACAUAUAACAUCACUAAUAUAGCUAGAACCCUAGCGAAUGACGGGUGUAUCAGUGCGGGCGGUGGACACCCAAAGAGAAGGAACCAUCACAUGAUCAUAGCUCUAGUGAGAUCCCUGAAGAACCUGCCAGGUAUUGUCGAGCCUGCCCUCCAACGCAACCAUGUAGCGACGGACAUACUCAUCCUCCUAACUAACACAGUGAUGUACCACCUCCGCGGGGGACGAAAGCCUCCGCACCAUCAGUGGCCCACGCAACCGCCACCAAAAAAGGUUCGGGUCAACGAUGGGCUGGCUCCUCACCAAGCUGCGCCCCCGGAAGGUAGCACCUCCCAGUACCAGCCCAGCGGAGCCUAGUCCCGGACAUGGUCCCUCUGAUCAAGCAGGCCUCCUCCGCCGAGUCGACGACGAGGAUGCGGGAUAGGCAUCAUCUACGUCGAGAACAAAAUGCUUAACUAUGAAAACAAAAUUAAUAAACACUUGGCAAAAUUCGGCACGACCUUUGCUAAAAGCAGGACAUAUCGAGCGGCUUAAAUUUGUUGGAAUGUGAACGAAUCAACAUUCUGGCAAAACAUAGGCCACUCGGAAAAAUUGUAUAUAACCGGAAUAAUUUCUUUAACUAAAAAAUAACAACAAAUGUUACAUGUUCAAAAUAUGACAUGUCCACUUCAAAACGAAUCAACCUAGAAUUUUGUUAAAUACAGCUAAAACACCUAAAUUGUAUUAACUAAACCUAAUUAAAAACCUACAUUUUAAACAUGGUUCGAUCAUAACUAGGGUUCAUACUACAUUAUUCUAAGAUUAAACACAUAAAUACCUAAAUUAUAUUAACUAUACCUAAUUAAAAACCUACAUUUUGAACAUUUUUCGAUCAUAACUAGCUAGGGUUCAUACUACAUUAUUCUAAGAUUAAACACCUAAGAUUAAACACUUAAGAUCAUAACCUACUACAUUAUUCGAUUUAACCUACAUUUUUCCACUAGCUAUGGUUCAAAAUAAACUAGGGAUGAGGAGGAAGGAGGGAGAGGAGUACCUUUCGGUGGAGGACGACUGGCGCAUGGGGGGGAGGAGGGCUAGCGCGGGAGGGCAACCGGCAGGGGAGGAGGCCGNNNNNNNNNNNNNNNNNNNNNNNNNNNNNNNNNNNNNNNNNNNNNNNNNNNNNNNNNNNNNNNNNNNNNNNNNNNNNNNNNNNNNNNNNNNNNNNNNNNNNNNNNNNNNNNNNNNNNNNNNNNNNNNNNNNNNNNNNNNNNNNNNNNNNNNNNNNNNNNNNNNNNNNNNNNNNNNNNNNNNNNNNNNNNNNNNNNNNNNNNNNNNNNNNNNNNNNNNNNNNNNNNNNNNNNNNNNNNNNNNNNNNNNNNNNNNNNNNNNNNNNNNNNNNNNNNNNNNNNNNNNNNNNNNNNNNNNNNNNNNNNNNGGCUGGCGGGGGAGGAGGGCCGGUGCGGGCGAGGGCGGCCGGCGGGGGAGGAGGGCCGGCACGGGGGACGACGGCCGGAGCAAGGAGAUUGAGGGAGGAGAGUGAGUGAGUGUGAGUGUGAGUGAGUGAUCGAGUGAGGGGGGCGCGGGCUGGCGGUGGGAGGAAGAAGUGGGCUUAGUAGCAUCGCGGGUAAUGGCCCAGCGCUUCUGCUAAGCCCACUAGCUGUACCACUAGUGCACAGCCCACGCUACAGGUAAGUGGGCUAUCGUUUUGGCCCUGCGGCCCACGUAACAGCAGUGCGGCACAUACCAACCAACGCUGCUGCUAUACAGUAGCAGUAGCGCGUCUUGUAGCCAGCGCUACUGAUGUCUACUACACAACCUUCUUCUUGUAGACGUUGUUGGGCCUCCAAGUGCAGAGGUUUGUAGGACAGUAGCAAAUUUCCCUCAAGUGGAUGACCUAAGGUUUAUUAAUUCGUGGGAGGCGUAGGAUGAAGAUGGUCUCUCUCAAACAACCCUACAACCAAAUAACAAAGAGUCUCUUGUGUCCCCAACACACCCAAUACAAUGGCAAAUUGUAUAGGUGCACUAGUUCGGCGAAGAGAUGGUGAUACAUGUGCAAUAUGGAUGGUAGAUAUAGGUUUUUAUAAUCUGAAAAAGUAAAAACAGCAAGGUAUCUAGUAACAAAAGUUGGUGAAAACGGUAUUGCAAUGCUUAGAAAUAAGGCCUAGGGUUCAUACUUUCACUAGUGCAAGUUCUCUCAACAAUGAUAACAGAAUUGGAUCAUAUAACAAUCCCUCAACAUGCAACAAAGAGUCACUACAAAGUCACUAAUAGCGGAGAACAAAUGAAGAGAUUAUUGUAGGGUACAAAACCACCUCAAAGUUAUUCUUUUCGAUCAAUCCAUUGGGCUAUUACUAUAAGUGUCACAAACAGCCCUAGAGUUCAUAGUAAAAUAACACCUUAAGACACACAUCAACCAAAACCCUAAUGUCACCUAGAUACUCCAAUGUCACCACAAGUAUCCGCGGGUUUGAUUAUACGAUAUGCAUCACACAAUCUCAGAUUCAUCUAUUCAAACCAACACAAAGAACUUCAAAGAGUGCCCCAAAGUUUCUACCGGAGAGUCAAGAUGAAAACGUGUGUCAACCCCUAUGCAUAAGUUCACAAGGUCACAUAACCUGCAAGUUGAUCACCAAAACAUACAUCAAGUGGAUCACGUGAAUAUCCCAUUGUCACCACAGAUAAGCACAUGCAAGACAUUGAUGUCAACUACGCAACUUUAUUCGUGUAUACUCGUGUUGGGCCUCCAAACGCAGAGUUUUGUAGCACAGUAGGAAUUUCCCCUAAAGUGGAUGACCUAAGGUUUAUCAAUCCGUGGGAGGCGUAGGAUGAAGAUAGUCUCUCUCAAGCAACCCUGCAAUCAAAUACAAGAAAUCUCUUGUGUCCCCAACACACCCAAUACAAUGGAAAAUUGUAUAGGUGCACUAGUUCGGCGAAGAGAUGGUGAUAAAAGUGUGGUAUGGAUAGUAGAUAUGAGUUUUUGUAGUGCUAACAAUAAAAAACAGCAAGGUAGUAAAUAGUAAAACGGAGCACAAACGUUAUUGCAAUGAUGGAAAAUGAGGCCUAGGGUGCAUACUUUCACUAGUGCAAUAUCUCAACAAUGCUAACAUAGUUGGAUCAUAUGAUUAUCCCUCAAAGUGCAAUAAAGAAUCACUCCCGAGUUCCUGUUAGCGGAGAACAUAAGAUAGAAAUUGUUUGUAGGGUACGAAACCACCUCAAAGCUAUUCUUUCCGAUCAAUCUAUCCUAGAGUUCGUACUAAAAUAACACAAAGCUAUUCUUUCUGAUCAAUCUAACCAAGAGUUCGUACUAAAAUAACACCAUAUUGCACACAUCAACCAACUCUAAUGUCACCUAGAUACUCCAAUGUCACCACAAGUAUCUGUGAUUUAAUUCUAUGAUAUGCAUCAAACAACUUCAUGAUCAUAAUACUCAAUCAACACAAAGAACUACAAGGAGACCCCAAAGUUUCUACCGGAGAAAAGAUAAUAAAAACGUGCAUCAACCCCUAUGCAUAGAUUAUCCCAAAGUCACCUCUGGAAUCCGCAAGUUGAGUGCCAUAACAUAUAUCAAGUGAAUCAGAAUAAUAUCCCAUUGUCACCACGGGUAUUCAUAUGCAAGAUAUAUAUCAUGUGUUCUCAGAUCUGAACAUUCAAUCCGACAAGACAAAACUUCAAAGGGUAAAGACUCAAUUCAUCACAACAGAGUAGAGAGGGGAGAAACAUCAUAUGAUCCAUCUAUGUUAACAAAGCCCAUGAUACAUCAAGAUCGUGACAUCUCAAGAUCGCGAGAGAGAGAGAGAGAGAGAUUAAACACAUAGCUACUGGUACAAACCCUCAGCCCCGAGGGUGGACUACUCCCUCCUCAUCGUGGUGGCCGCCGGGAUGAUGAAGAUGGCAAUCAAUGAUGAUUCCCCCCUCCGGCAGGGUGCUGGAACGGGGUCCCGAUUGGUUUUCGGUGGCUACAGAGGCUUGCGGCAGCGGAACUUCCGAUCUAGGUUCUCCGUGAGGGUUUUUGGAAUAUCUGUGAAUUUAUAGGGCGAAGAGGGGGUGCGGGAGGCCACCGAGGUGGGCACAACCCACCGGGGAGCGCCUGGGGGCCCAGGCGCGCCCUGGUGGGUUGUGCCCCCCUUGGGGCACCCCUAGGUGCUGCUCUAGCCCAUUGGUAGUCUUCUGGUCCAUAAAAAAUCCAGAAAAAGUUUCAUGGUGUUUGGAGAACUUUCAUUUCUGCACAACAAAAAACAACACGGUAGUUCUGCUGAAAACAACGUCAGUCCGGGUUAGUUCCAUGCAAAUCAUACCAAAACCAUAUAGAAUUAUUGCAAACAUGACAUGAAUACUUCAUAAAUUAUAGAUACGUUGGGGACGUAUCAGACAUACAUCAAGUGUUCUCAAAUCCUUAAAUACUCAAUCUAAUAAGAUAACUUCAAAGGGAAAACUCAAUCCAUUACAAGAAGGUAGAGGGGGAGAAACAUCAUAAGAUCCAACUAUAAUAGCAAAGCUCACGGUACAUCAAGAUCGUGCCAAAUCAAGAACACGAGAGAGAGAGAGAGACAGAGAGAGACAGAGAGAGAGAGAGAGAGAGAGAGAGAGAGAGAGAGAGAUCAAACACAUAGCUACUGGUACAUACCCUCAGCCCCGAGGGUGAACUACUCCCUCCACAUCAUGGAGAGCGCCGGGAUGAUGAAGAUGGCCACCGGUGAUGAUUCCCCCCGGAAGGGUGCCGGAACAGGGUCGCAAUUGGUUUUUGGUGGCUACAGAGGCUUGCGGCGGUGGAACUCCCAAUCUUCGUUCUGUUCUGGAGGUUUGGGGAUAUAUAAGAGGUGUUGGCGUUGGGAACAAGUCAGGGGUGGUCCACGAGGCAGCCACGAGGUAGGGGGACGUGCCCAGGGGGUAGGGCGCACCCUCCACCCUCGUGGUGGCCUCGGGACUCUUCUGGUCCAUCUCCGAUGCUCCGUGGGCUUCUUAUGGUCCAAAAAUAAUCUUCGUAAAUUUUCAGGUUAUUUGGACUCCGUUUGAUAUUCCUUGGUCCAGGAAGUGUCCAAUUGUUUUCAUUAGUCAACAUAUUAUUCAAUAACAAUUCAUCUUGAUCAACAGUUCUUUCCCUGAAAACACAACCAGCACAACUAUCCAGGUGGUCUCUGGAAGCAUCGGUUAGUCCAUUAUAAAAGAUAUCAACUAUUCCAUUUUUCUUGAGAGGAUGAUCAGGCAAGGCAUUAAGUAAUUGGAGAAGCCUCCCCAAGCUUGUGGGAACUCUCUUCUUCAAUUUGCACAAAAUUAUAUAUUUCCCUUAAAGCAGCUUGUUUCUUAUGAGCGAGGAAAUAUUUAGCAGAAAAGUAAUAAAUCAUAUCUUUGGGACUACGCACACAACCAGGAUCAAGAGAAUUAAACCAUAUUUUAGCAUCACCCUUUAAUGAGAAUGGAAAUAACUUAAGGAUAUAGUAGUAACAAAUUUUUUCCUCGUGAGUGAAUAGGGUGGCUAUAUCAUUCAAUUUAGUAAGAUGUGCCACAACUGUUUCAGACUCAUAGCCAUAAAAAUGAUCAGAUUCAACCAAAGUAAUUAUCUCAGGAUCGACAAACAAAUCAUAAUCCUUAUCAGAAAUACAGAUAGGUGAAGUAGCAAAAGCAGGGUCAUAUUUCUUAAGAUCAUAUCUAUCAUUGCAAGCAAGAAAAUCUCUAGUAAUUUCUUCAUCCAUAACAUAACCCUCAGGCAUAACAGGAAAUUCAUAUCUAGGGGGAGAAUCUUCAUCAUCACUUUCAUCAGUAUUAUCAGUUCCAAUAAUUUCAUUCUCUCUAGCCCUAGCAAGUUGUUCAUCAAGAAAUUCACCUAAUGGCACAGUAUUAUCAAGCAUAGAAGUAGUUUCAUCAUAAGCAUCACGCAUAGCAGAAGUGGCAUCAUCAAUAACAUGCGACAUAUCAGAGUUAAUAGUAGAAGCAGGUUUGGGUGUCGCAAGUUUACUCAAAACAGAAGGAGAAUCAAGUGCAGAGCUAGAUGGCAGUUCCUUACCCCCCCUCGUAGUUGAGGGAUAAAUCUUGGUUUUCUCGUCUUUCAAGUUCCUCAUAGUGAUCAGCAGAUAUAAAUCCCAAGUGACUCAAAGAAUAGAGCUAUGCUCCCCAGCAACGGCGCCAGAAAAUAGUCUUGAUAACCCACAAGUAUAGGGGAUCGCAACAGUUUUCGAGGGUAGAGUAUUCAACCCAAAUUUAUUGAUUCGACACAAGGGGAGCCAAAGAAUAUUCUCAAGUAUUAGCAGUUAAGUUGUCAAUUCAAGCACACCUGAAAGACUUAAUAUCUGCAGCAAAGUAUUUAGUAGCAAAGUAGUAUGGAGGUAACGGUAACGGUGGAAAAAGUAACAGUAGCAGUUUUGUAGUAAUUGUAACAGCGGCAACGGUAAAGUAACUAAGCAAAGAUCAAUAUGUGAAAAUCUCGUAGGCAUUGGAUCAGUGAUGGAUAAUUAUGUCGGAUGCGAUUCCUCAUGCAACAGUUAUAACAUAGGGUGACACAGAACUAGCUCUAGUUCAUCAAUGUAAUGUAGGCAUGUAUUCCGAAUAUAGUCAUAUGUGCUUAUGGAAAAGAACUUGCAUGACAUCUUUUGUCCUACCCUCCCGUGGCAGCGGGGUCCUAUUGGAAACUAAGGGAUAUUAAGGCCUCCUUUUUAUAGAGUACCGGACCAAAGCAUUAACACUUAGUGAAUACAUGAACUCCUCAAACUACGGUCAUCACCGGGAGUGGUCCCGAUUAUUGUCACUUCGGGGUUGCCGGAUCAUAACACAUAGUAGGUGACUAUUGACUUGCAAGGUAGGAUCAAGAACUCACAUAUAUUCAUGAAAACAUAAUAGGUUCAGAUCUGAAAUCAUGGCACUCGGGCCCUAGUGACAAGCAUUAAGCAUAAAAAAGUCAUAGCAACAUCAAUCUUACAACAUAAUGGAUAGUAGGGAUCAAACCCUAACAAAACUAACUCGAUUACAUGGUAAAUCUCUUCCAACCCAUCACCGUCCAGCAAGCCUACAAUGGAAUUACUCACGCACGGCGGUGAGCAUCAUGAAAUUGGUGAUGGAGGAUGGUUGAUGAUGACGACAGCGACGGAUUCCCCUCUCCGGAGCCUCGAACGGACUCCAGAUCAGCCCUCCCGAGAGAGAUUAGGGCUUGGCGGCGACUCCGUAUCGUAAAAUGCGAUGAAUCCUUCUCUCUGAUUUUUUUCUCCCCGAACGUGAAUAUAUGGAGUUGGAGUUGAGGUCGGUGGAGCCUCAGGGGGCCCACGAGACAGGGGGGCGCGUCCCCUCCCUCGUGGACAGUGUGUGGGCCCCCUGGUGUUGAUUCUUUCGCUUGUAUUUUUUAUAAAUUCCAAAAAUAAUCUCCGUGAAGUUUCAGGUCAUUCCGAGAACUUUUAUUUCUGCACAAAAAUAACACCAUGGCAAUUCUGAUGAAAACAAUGUCAGUCCGGGUUAGUUCCAUUCAAAUCAUCCAAGUUAGAGUCCAAAACAAGGGCAAAAAUGUUUGGAAAAUUAGAUACGAUGGAGACGUAUCAACUCCCCCAAGCUUAAACCUUUGCUUGUCCUCAAGCAAUUCAGUGGACAAACUGAAAAUGAUAAAGAAAAACUUUUACAAACUCUGUUUGCUCUUGUUGUUGCAAAUAUGUAAAGCCAACAUUCAAGUUUUCAGCAAAGAUUAUGAACUAACCAUAUUCACAAUAACAUCUAGGUCUCAUAUUUACUCAUAUCAAUGGCAUAAUCAACUAGUGAGCAAUAAUAUUAAAUCUCGGAUGACAACACUUUCUCAAAACAAUCAUAAUAUGACAUAACAAGAUGGUAUCUCGCUAGCCUUUCUGAGACCGCAAAACAUAAAUGCAGAGCACCUCUGAAGAUCAAGGACUGACUGGACAUUGUAAUUCAUGGAAAAAGAGAUCCAGUCAUAGUUAUACUCAAUAUAAAUUAAUAGUAAUGGAUGCAAAUGACAGAGGUGCUCUCCAACAGGUGCUUUUUAAUAAGAGGAUGAUGACUCAUCAUAAAAGUAAAUAGAUAGGCCCUUCACAGAGGGAAGCGGGGAUUUGUAGAGGUGCCAGAGCUCGAGUUUUGAAAUAGAGAUAAAUAAUAUUUUGGGUGGUAUAAUUUCAUUGUCAACAUAACAACCAAGAGAUCUCGAUAUCUUCCAUGCUACACACAUUAUAGGCGGUUCCCAAACAGAAUGGUAAAGUUUAUACUCCCCCACCACCAACAAGCAUCAAUCCAUGGCUUGCCCGAAACAAAGGGUGCCUCCAACUAACAACAAUCCCGGGGGAGUAUUGUUUGCAAUUAUUUUUAUUUGAGCAUGGGACUAGGCAUCCCGGUUAGCGGCCAUUUUCUCGUGAGUGAGGAGUGGAGUCCACUCCUCGUGAGAAUAACCCACAUAGCAUGGAGGAUAUAUACAUCCCUAGUUGAUACAUGAGCUAUUUGAGCAUACAAAACAGAAUUUCAUUUGAAGGUUUAGAGUUUGGCACAUACAAAUUUACUUGGAACGGCAGGUAAAUACCGCAUAUAGGAAGGUAUGGUGGAUUCAUAUGGAAUAACUUUGGGGUUUAUGGAAGUGGAUGCACAAGCAGUAUUCCCACUUAGUACAAGUGAAGGCUAGAAAGAGACUGGGAAGCAACCAACUAGAGAGCAACAACAGUCACGAACAUGCAUUAAGAUUAAUCAACAAUGAGUGCAAGCAUGAGUAGGAUAUAAAUCACCAUGAACAUAAAUAUCGUGGAGGCUAUGUUGAUUUUGUUUCAACUACAUGCGUGAACAUGUGCCAAGUCAAGCCACUCGAAUCAUUCAAAGGACGAUGCGCCCUAUCAUACCACAUCACAACCGUUUUAGUAGCAUGUUGGCACGCAAGGUAAACCAUUAUAAACUCCUAGCUGAUUAAGCAUGGCAUGAGCAACUAUAAUCUCUAAUUGUCAUUGCAAACAUGUUUCAUUCAUAAUAGGCUGAAUCAGGAACGAUGAACUAAUCAUAUUUAAAAAAACAAGAUAGGUCGAGUUCAUACCAGCUUCUCUCAUCUCAAUCAUUUCAUCAUAUAUCGUCAUUAUUGCCUUUCACUCGCACGACCGAACGGUGUGAAUAAUAAUAAUAAUAGUGCACGUGCAUUGGACUAAGCUAGAAUCCGCAAGCAUUUAAUACAAGGGAGAAGACAAGGUAAUAUGGGCUCUUGGUUAAAUCAACAAUAAUGCAAAUGAGAUCCACUCAACAUUUUCAUCAUGGUCUUCUCCUCUCGACCCCGAAAGAAAAGAAAUAAAACUAUUUACACGGGAAAGCUCCCAACAAGCAAAAGAAGAACGAAAAAUCUUUUUGGGUUUUCUUUUAAUUACUACUACAAGCAUGGAAAGUAGACUAGCUAAUUUUUUUUGUUUUUCUUAAGGUUUUUCAAACACACAAGAAGAAGGCUUAGAAAAGAAAAUAAACUAGCAUGGAUAGUACAAUGAAAAAGUAUGAGCACCGACAACUAGAAUGAGUGUGUGAACAUGAAUGUAAUGUCGGUGAGAAAUACGUACUCCCCAAGCUUAGGCUUUUGGCCUAAGUUGGUCUAUGGCCACUGCUGGCCUAGCGGAUAUCCAAAGUUGUAACUGGGGUCGUACUGAGAUGCAGCCGCUACUACCUGCCGGACUGCAGCUUGGAGGCGAGCUGCUUCAGUCCUCCUCUCAUACUCAUUCGCCUCUUCCCUGGUUAUAACAUAUCUCCUUUUUGCCUAAAAGUCAAAGAAAGUAGGAGCAGGGAGAGCAAUAUGGACAGCGCGCUGUCUGUCAAAGAUUAGUCGGUACUGAAGGGGCUGUUCAUUCCUCUCAAUAAACUGAUGGCAAACCAUAGCAUUAUAAUCUAAAUAAACAGGAGGCAACUCUAUAUCAUUUGCAUGUAUGGGUACAUCAAGAUAGUUAGCUAAACGAGUUGCAUAAAUCCCACCAAACAAAUAUCCACUUAUACUGUUAUAAUGCAACCCUCGUGCAACAAUCGCCCCCAAGUUAUAUUGUUUAUCUCCUAAUACCGCACUUUUGAGAACACAAAGAUCUGGAACGCACAUGUGACAAGCUUCAUCUUUGCCAUUAAUGCAUCUACCUAUAAAGAGAGCAAAAUAAUGAAUGGAAGGAAAAUGAAUGCUCCCUAUGGUAGCUUGUGUGAUUUCUCGAGAUUCCCCCACAGUGAUACUAGCAAGAAAGUCUUUAUAUUCAGAUUUGCGAGGUUCCCCAAAAUUGCCCCACUGCGGGAGUUUACAAGCAGUAUUAAAAUCUUCUAGGUCCAUGGUAUAUGAUUUAUCAUAAAGAUCAAACAAAACAGUGUGAGAAUUGCGUGAGGAUGUGAAUUUGAACCUUCUCACAAAGGAAUCAGUUAGGUAGUAGUAUUGGGGGCACUUAUCUGACACAAAGCCCUCAAGUCCAGCAUUACACACAUACGCGUCAAAUUCCUCCUUAAUGCCUGCUUGAACCAUAAAAUCUUCUGAUGGCCAUUCACAAGGCCGCACUUGAGCUUCCCUCGGUGGUUCAUCAUCUGGCUCACGUAUCGCGAGCCUUGGUCCUUGCUUCCUUGAGGAACCACCUUGGUAUAUUUUCCUAUGCAUUUUUCUUUCUCUGAAAAGUUUCUGAAAUUUUUAGUGACUCAAAAUAAAAGUGAAACAAACUCAACAAGACUGAUAGCAACUAUCUCCAUAAGUGUCUGGAGGCUAUAUCAUGCAUUAAAACUACCUUGGACCAUAUAAAUUUGUCGUGCAAGUUCAAGAACAGGGUCACCACAGCAGCAAAAAUUUGCAAUAAAUAAAGCACUAGAACAAAAACUAAUUGGACCAUUGGAGGAGUUACAUACCGAAGAACAAUCCUCCAAAACGGUUUUGUGAAUGAAGCUUUGAGCAAGGAGAUCGAAAAUCGCAGCAAAACGAGCUAGAACACAAGUUUGAGCUGUGUGGUGUUUUUUUCUGGAGGAAGACGAAGUGUGUUGGUGCAGGAAUAAGUGGAGGGGGGCCACGUGGGGCCCAUGAGGCAGGGGGCGCGCCCUGGACCCUCGUGGCCAGGUGGUGCGGCCCCCUGAUGUUUUCUUAGUGCCAAAUAUUCUUAAAUAUUCUACAAAAAAAAUCAUAUUUCUUUUUCGGGACAUUUGGAGAACUUUUAUUUUCGGGGUAUUUUUUAUUUGCAAGGAUAAAUCAGAAAACUGAUAAAAAAAAUACUAUUUUUGCUUUAUUUAAUCUAAAUAACAGAAAGUAAAAGGAGGGUACAGAGAGUUGUGCUUUCUAACUUCAUCCAUCGCAUACUCAUCAAAAGGAAUCCACUAACAAGGUUGAUCAAGUCUUGUUAACAAACUCAUUCCGAAUCGCAUGAAACCAGAGAAUCUUCGGAUAGCACUAACUUACCUCAAUGGGGAGAUGCAUGUCCCCAACAAUAAGAAUAUCAUAUUUCUUCUUGACAUUAGGAAGAGGAAAUUCAAAACCUCCAAUAGUAAUCGUUGAAAAUUUUCCAAUACAAUUGAUACUGUGGACUUGAGGUUGUUUCCUCGGAAAGUGUACCGUAUGCUCGUUACCAUUAACAUGAAAAGUGACAUUGCCUUUGUUGCAAUCAAUAACAGCCCCUGCAGUAUUCAAAAAGGGUCUACCAAGGAUAAUUGACAUAUUAUCGUCCUCAAGAAUAUCAAGAAUAACAAAGUCCGUCAAAAUAGUAACAUUUGCAACCACAACAGGCACAUCCUCACAAAUACCGAUAGGUAUAGGAGUUGAUUUAUCGGCCAUUUGCGAAGAUAUUUUAGUAGGUGUCAACUUAUUCAAAUCAAGUCUACGGUAUAAAGAGAGAGGCAUAACACUAACACCGGCUCCAAGAUCACAUAAAGCAGUUUUAACAUAGUUUCUUUAAUGGAGCAUGGUAUAGUUGGUACUCCUGGAUCUCCAAGUUUCUUUGGUAUUCCACCUUUAAAAGUAUAAUUGGCAAGCAUGGUGGAAAUUUCAGCUUCCCGUAUCUUUCUUUUAUUUGUAACAAUAUCUUUCAUGUACUUAGCAUAAGGAUUCAUUUUAAGCAUAUCAGUCAAACGCAUACGCAAAAAGAUAGGUCUAAUCAUUUCAGCAAAGCGCUCAAAAUCCUCAUCAUCCUUUUUCUUGGAUGGUUUAGGAGGAAAAGGCAUGGGUUUCUGAACCCAUGGUUCUCUUUCUUUACCGUGCUUCCUAGCAACGAAGUCUCUCUUAUCAUAACGUUGAUUCUUUGAUUGUGGGUUAUCAAGAUCAACAACAGGUUCAACCUCUACAUCAUUAUUAUUGCUAGGUUGAGCAUCAACAUGAACAUCAUCAUUAACAUCAUCACUGGGUUCAUGUUCAUUACCAGAUUGUGUUUCAGCAUCAGAAAUAGAAAUAUCAUUGGGAUUCUCAGGUGUGUCAACAACAGGUUCACUAGAAGCAUGCAAAGUCCUAUCAUUUUUCUUCUUCUUCUUUUUAGAAGGACUAGGUGCAUCAACAUUAUUUCUCUGAGAAUCUUGCUCAAUUCUCUUAGGGUGGCCCUUAGGAUACAAAGGUUCCUGAGUCAUUCUACCACCUCUAGUCACAACUCUAAUAGCAUUAUCAUUUUCUUAUUAUUUAAUUCAUUGAGCAAAUCAUUUUGUGCUUUAAGCACUUGUUCUGCUUGAGUGGUAACCAUGGAAGCAUGUUUACUAAUAAGUUUAAGUUCACCUUUAACUCUAGACAUAUAAUCACUCAAGUGUUCAAUCAUAUAAGCAUUGCGUUUCAAUUGUCUACCAACAUAAGCAUUGAAGUUUUCUUGUUUAACAAUAAAAUUAUCAAACUCAUCCAAGCAUUGACUAGCAGACUUAUAACGAGGAAUAUCACCUUCAUCAAAUCUAUAGAGAGAAUUUACCUUUACUACCUGUGUCGGGUUAUCAAGACCAUGUAUUUCCUCAAUAGGCGGUAAAUUAUUAACAUCUUCAGCUUUAAUACCCUUUUCUUUCAUAGAUUUCUUUGCCUCUUGCAUAUCUUCAGGACUGAGAAAUAGAAUACCCCUUUUCUUCGGAGUUGGCUUAGGAGUUGGUUCAGGAAGUGUCCAAUUGUUUUAAUUAGUCAACAUAUUAUUCAAUAACAAUUCAUCUUGAUCAACAGUUCUUUCCCUGAAAACACAAAUAGCACAACUAUCCAGGUGGUCUCUGGAAGCAUCGGUUAGUCCAUUAUAAAAGAUAUCAAGUAUUCCAUUUUUCUUGAGAGGAUGACCAGGCAAGGCAUUAAGUAAUUGGAGAAGCCUCCCCCAAGCUUGUGGGAGACUCUCUUCUUCACUUUGCACAAAAUUAUAUAUUUCCCUUAAAGCAGCUUGUUUCUUAUGAGCGGGGAAAUAUUUAGCAGAAAAGUAAUAAAUCAUAUCCUGGGGACUACGCACACAACUAGGAUCAAGAGAAUUAAACCAUAUUUUAGCAUCACCCUUUAAUCCGAAUGGAAAUAACUUAAGGAUAUAGUAGUAACGAAUUUUUUCCUCGUGAGUGAAUAGGGUGGCUAUCAUUCAAUUUAGUAAGAUGUACCACAACUAUUUCAGAUUCAUAGCCCUAAAAAGGAUCAGAUUCAACCAAAGUAAUUAUCUCAGGAUCGACAGAGAAAUCAUAAUCCUUAUCAGAAAUACAGAUAGGUGAAGUAGCAAAAGUAGGGUCAUAUUUCAUUCUAGCAUUCAGAGAUUUUUCUUUCAGCUUAGCUAAUAAUUUCUUAAGAUCAUAUCUAUCAUUGCAAGCAAGAAAAUCUCUAGUAGUUUCUUCAUCCAUAACAUAACCCUCAGGCAUAACAGGCAAUUCAUAUCUAGGGGAGAAUCUUCAUCAUCACUUUCAUCAGUAUUAUCAGUUUCAAUAAUUUCAUUCUCUCUAGCCCUAGCAAGCUGUUCAUCAAGAAAUUCACCUAAUGGCACAGUAUUAUCAAGCAUAGAAGUAGUUUCAUCAUAAGCAUCACGCAUAGCAGAAGUGGCAUCAUCAAUAACAUGCGACAUAUCAGAAUUAAUAGCAGAAGCAGGUUUAGCUGUCGCAAGUUUACUCAAUACAGAAGGAGAAUCAAGUGCGGAGCUAGAUGGCAGUUCCUUACCCCCCCUCGUAGUUGAGGGAUAAAUCUUGGUUUUCUCGUCUUUCAAGUUCCUCAUAGUGAUCAACAGAUAUAAAUCCCAAGUGACUCAAAGAAUAGAGCUAUGCUCCCCGGCAACGGCGCCAGAAAAUAGUCUUGAUAACCCACAAGUAUAGGGGAUCGCAACAGUUUUCGAGGGUAGAGUAUUCAACCCAAAUUUAUUGAUUCAACACAAGGGGAGCCAAAGAAUAUUCUCAAGUAUUAGCAGUUGAGUUGUCAAUUCAACCAUACCUGAAAGACUUCAUAUCUGCAGCAAAGUAUUUAGUAGCAAAGUAGUAUGGAAGUAACGGUAAUAGUGGAAAAAGUAACAGUAGCAGUUUUGUAGUAAUUGUAACAGCGGCAACGGUAAAGUAACUAAGCAAAGAUCAAUAUGUGAAAAGCUCAUAGGCAUUGGAUCAGUGAUGGAUAAUUAUGUCGGAUGCGAUUCCUCAUGCAACAGUUAUAACAUAGGGUGACACAAAACUAGCUCCAGUUCAUCAAUGUAAUGUAGGCAUGUAUUCCGAAAAUAGUCAUACGUGCUUAUGGAAAAGAACUUGCAUGACAUCUUUUGUCCUACCCUCCCGUGGCAGCGGGGUCCUAUUAGAAACUAAGGGAUAUUAAGGCCUCCUUUUUAUAGAGUACCGGACCAAAGCAUUAACACUUAGUGAAUACAUGAACUCCUCAAACUAUGGUCAUCACCGGGAAUGGUCCCGAUUAUUGUCACUUCAAUGUUGCCGGGUCAUAACACAUAGUAGGUGACUGUUGACUUGCAAGAUAGGAUCAAGAACUCACAUAUAUUCAUGAAAAAAUAAUAGGUUCAGAUCUAAAAUCAUGGCACUCGGGCCCUAGUGACAAGCAUUAAGCAUAGCAAAGCCAUAGCAACAUCAAUCUUAGAACAUAAUGGAUACUAGGGAUAAAACCCUAACAAAACUAACUCAAUUACAUGGUAAAUCUCAUCCAACCCAUCACCGUCCAGCAAGCCUAUGAUGGAAUUACUCACGCACGGCGGUGAGCAUCAUGAAAUUGGUGAUGGAGGAUGGUUGAUGAUGACGACGGCGACGGAUUCCCCUCUCCGGAGCCCCGAACGGACUCCAGAUCAGCCCUCCCGAGAGAGAUUAGGGCUUGGCGGCGGCUCCAUAUCGUAAAACGCAAUGAAUCCUUCUCUCUGAUUUUUUUUCUCCCUGAAUGUGAAUAUAUGGAGUCUGAGUUGAGGUCGGUGGAGCCUCAGGGGCCCACGAGACAGGGGGGCGCGCCCCACACCCUCAUGGACAGGGUGUGGGCCCCCUGGUGUUGAUUCUUUCGCCAGUAUUUUUGUAAAUUCCAAAAAUAAUCUCCGUGAAGUUUCAGGUCAUUCAGAGAACUUUUAUUUCUGCGCAAAAAUAACACCAUGGCAAUUCUGCUGAAAACAGCGUCAGUCCGGGUUAGUUCCAUUCAAAUCAUGCAAGUUAGAGUUCAAAACAGGGGCAAAAGUGUUUGGAAAAUUAGAUACGAUGGAGACGUAUCAAGGAGAUAGUCUCACAUCAACUAGGCGUAUCAGUGGGCUAUGGAGAUGCCCAUCAAUAGAUAUCAAUGUGAGUGAGUAGGGAUUGCCAUGCAACGGAUGCACUAGAGCUAUAAGUUUAUGAAAGCUCAAAAAGAAACUAAGUGGGUGUGCAUCCAACUUGCUUGCUCAUGAAGACCUAGGGCAUUUGAGGAAGCCCAUUGUUGGAAUAUACAAGCCAAGUUCUAUAAUGAAGAAUUCCCACUAGUGUAUGAAAUUGACAAAAUAGGAGACUCUCUAUCAUGAAGAUCAUGGUGCUACUUUGAAGCACAAGUGUAGUAAAAGGAUAGUAGCAUUGUCCCUUCUCUCUUUUUCUCUCUUUUUUUGAUUGGCUUCUUUGGCCUCUUUUUUUUUAUUUUCUCACAUGGGACAAUGCUCUAAUAAUGAUGAUGAUCACACUUUUAUUUACUUACAACUCAAGAAUUACAACUCGAUACUUAGAACAAAAUAUGACUCUAUAUGAAUGCCUCCAGCGGUGUACCGGGAUGUGUAAUGAAUCAAGAGUGACAUGUAUGAAAGGAUUAUGAAAGGUGGCUUUGCCACAAAUACGAUGUCAACUACAUGAUCAUGCAAAGCAAUAUGAUAAUGAUGAUACAUGUCAUAAUAAACAGAACGGUGGAAAAUUGCAUGUUAAUAUAUCUCGGAAUGGCUAUGGAAAUGCCAUAAUAGGUAGGUAUGGUGGCUGUUUUGGGGGAGGUAUAUGGUGGGUGUAUGGUACCGGCGAAAGUUGUGUGGUACUAGAGAGGCUAGCAAUGGUGGAAGGGUGAGAGUGCAUAUAAUCCAUGGACUCAACAUUAGUCAUAAAGAACUCACAUCUUAUUGCAAAAAUUAUUAGUCAUCGAAAACAAGAACUAUGCGUAUGCUCCUAGGGAAAGGGUUGGUAGGAGUUAACCAUCGCGCGAUCCCGACCUCCACACAAAGGAUGACAAUCAAAAAAUACUUCAUGCUCCAACUUCGUUACAUAACGGUUCACCAUACGUGCAUGCUACGGGACUCACAAACCUCAACACAAGUAUUUCUCAAAUUCACAAUUACCCCACUAGCAUAAUUCUAAUAUCACUAUCUUUAUAUCUCAAAACAAUCAUAAAGAAUCAAACUUCUCAUAGUAUUCAAUGCACUUUAUAUGAAAGUUUUUAUUAUAUCCCUCUUGGAUGCCCAUCAUAUUAGGACUAAAUUCAUAACCAAAGCAAAUUACCAUGUUGUUUAAGACUCUCAAAAUAAUAUAGUGAAUCAUGAGAGUUCAUCUAUUUCUUCAAAAUAAAACCACCGCCAUGCUCUAAAAAGAUAUAAGUGAAACACUAGAGCAAAUGACAAACUACUCUGAAAGAUAGAAGUGAAGAUCAAUGAGUAGUCAAAUAAUUAUGCAACUAUGUGAAGAAUCUCUAACAUUUAAGAAUUUCAGAUCUUAAUAUUUUAUUCAAGAAGCAAGCAAAUCCUAAUAAAAUAAAAUUACGCUCCAAGCAAAACACAUAUCAUGUGGUGAAUAAAAAUGUAGCUCCAAGUAAAGUUACCGAUAAACGAAGAUGAAAGAGGGGAUGCCAUCCGGGGCAUCCCCAAGCUGAGGCUCUUGGUUGUACUUUUAUAUUACCUUGGGGUGCCUUGGGCAUCCCCAAGCUUAGGCUCUUGCCACUCCUUAUUCCAUAGUCCAUCGAAUCUUUACCCAAAACUUGAAAACUUCACAACACAAAACUCAACAGAAAACUCGUAAGCUCCGUUAGUAUAAGAAAAUAAAUCACCACUUAGGUACUGUUGUGAACUCAUUCUAAAUUCAUAUUGGUGUUGUAUCUACUGUAUUCCAACUUCUCCAUGGUUCAUACCCUCCGAUACUACUCAUAGAUUCAUCAAAAUAAGCAAACAACAGAGAAAAUAGAAUCUGUCAAAAACAGAACAGUCUGUAUUAAUCUGAGAACUUUCCAUACUUCUGUAACUCCAAAAAUUCUGAAAAUUAGGAAAAUCUAGGAAAUUUGUAUAUCAAUCUUGUGUAAAAAAUGUUGGGGAUCGUAGCAGAAUUUUAAAAUUUCCUACGCAUCACCAAGAUCCAUCUAUGGAGUAUACUAGCAAUGAGGGGAAAGGAGUGCAUCUACAUACCCUUGUAGAUCGCGAGCGGAAGCGUUCCAAUGAACGGGGUUGAUGGAGUCGUACUCGCCGUGAUCCAAAUCACCGAUGACCGAGUGCCGAACGGACGGCACCUCCGCGUUCAACACACGUACGGAGCAGCAACGUCUCCUCCUUCUUGAUCCAACAAGGGGAAAGGAGAGGUUGAUGGAGAUCCAGCAGCACGACGGCGUGGUGGUGGAUGUAGCUGGAUCUCGGCAGAGCUUCGCCAAGCUUCUACGAGAGGGAGAGGUGUUGCAGGGGAGGAGGGAGGCGCCAAAGGCUAUUGUAUUGCUGCCCUCCCUCCCCCCUUAUAUAGGACCCCUGGGAGGGGGGGCGCCGGCCAAGANNNNNNNNNNNNNNNNNNNNNNNNNNNNNNNNNNNNNNNNNNNNNNNNNNNNNNNNNNNNNNNNNNNNNNNNNNNNNNNNNNNNNNNNNNNNNNNNNNNNNNNNNNNNNNNNNNNNNNNNNNNNNNNNNNNNNNNNNNNNNNNNNNNNNNNNNNNNNNNNNNNNNNNNNNNNNNNNNNNNNNNNNNNNNNNNNNNNNNNNNNNNNNNNNNNNNNNNNNNNNNNNNNNNNNNNNCCCCCCAAGUCAAGUGCGGCGCCCCCCCACCCUAGGGUUUCCAACCCUAGGCGCAGGGGGGAGGCCCAUGGGGGGCGCCCCAGCCCACUAAGAGAUGGUUCCCUUCCCACAUCAGCCCAUGGGGCCCUCCGGGAUAGGUGGCCCCACCCGGUGGACCCCCGGGACCCUUUCGGUGGUCCCGGUACAAUACCGAUAACCCCCGAAACUUUCCCGGUGGCCGAAACUGGACUUCCUAUAUAUAAUUCUUCACCUCCGGACCAUUCCGGAACUCCUCGUGACGUCCGAGAUCUCAUCCGGGACUCCGAACAACUUUCGGGUUUCCGCAUACUAAUAUCUCUACAACCCUAGCGUCACCGAACCUUAAGUGUGUAGACCCUACGGGUUCGGGAGACAUGCAGACAUGACCGAGACGCCUCUCCGGUCAAUAACCAACAGCGGGAUCUGGAUACCCAUGUUGGCUCCCACAUGUUCCACGAUGAUCUCAUCGGAUGAAACACGAUGUCGAGGAUUCAAUCAAUCCCGUAUACAAUUCCCUUUGUCAAUCGGUAUGUUACUUGCGCGAGAUUCGAUCGUCGGUAUCCCAAUACCUUGUUCAAUCUCGUUACCGGCAAGUCUCUUUACUCGUACCGCAAUGCAUGAUCCCGUGGCUAACUCCUUAGUCACAUUGAGCUCAUUAUGAUGAUGCAUUACCGAGUGGGCCCAGAGAUACCUCUCCGUCAUACGGAGUGACAAAUCCCAGUCUCGAUCCGUGCCAACCCAACAAACACUUUCGGAGAUACCCGUAGUGUACCUUUAUAGUCACCCAGUUACGUUGUGACGUUUGGCACACCCAAAGUACUCCUAUGGUAUCCGGGAGUUGCACGAUCUCAUGGUCUAAGGAGAAGAUACUUGACAUUGGAAAAGCUCUAGCAAACGAACUACACGAUCUUUGAGCUAUGCUUAGGAUUGGGUCUUGUCCAUCACAUCAUUCUCAUAAUGAUGUGAUCCCGUUAUCAAUGACAUCCAAUGUCCAUAGUCAGGAAACCAUGACCAUCUGUUGAUCAACGAGCUAGUCAACUAGAGGCUUACUAGGGACACGUUGUGGUCUAUGUAUUCACACAUGCAUUACGAUUUCCGGAUAACACAAUUAUAGCAUGAACAAUAGAUAAUUACCAUGAACAAAGAAAUAUAAUAAUAACCAUUUAUUAUUGCCUCUAGGGCAUAUUUCCAACAAAAAAUUCAUAUAAAAAUCAUGUUCCAGUUAAUUUUAAAAUUUCCUGGACUGAGCGCAAAAGUUUCUGUUUUUACACAGAAUCAAGUCAACUAUCAUCCACACUAUCCCAAAGGCUUUACUUGGCACUUUAUUGAAACAAAAGCUAUAAAACAUGAUUACUACAGUAGCAUAAUCAUGUGGAAACACAAAAAUAGGAAGGGUAAAUAUUGGGUUGUCUCCCAACAAGCGCUUUUCUUUAAUGCCUUUUUAGCUAGGCAUGAUGAUUUCAAUGAUGCCCGCAUAAAAGAUAAGAAUUGAAACAUAAUGGGAGCUUCAUGAAGCAUAUGACUAACACAUUUAAGUCUAACCCACUUCUUAUGCAUAGGGAUUUUGUGAGCGAACAACUUAUGGGAACAAGAAUAAACUAGCAUAGGAAGGCAAAACAAGCAUAACUUCAAGAUUUUCAACACAAUGAGAGGAAACUUGAUAUUAUUGUAACUCCUACAAGCAUAUAUCCUCCCUCAUAAUAAUUUUCAGUACCACCAUGAAUGAAUUCAACAAUAUAUCUACCACAUAAAGCAUUAUUUUCAUGAUGCAUAAGCAUAUAAUUUUUAUUACUCUCCUCAUAAGCAAUUUUUUUCUCAUGAAUAGUAGAGGGAGCAAACUCAACAAAAUAACUAUCAUGUGAGGCAUAAUCCAAUUGAAAAUUAAAAUCAAGAUGACAAAUUUCAUGGUUAUCAUUAUUCUUUAUAGCAUACAUGUCAUCACAAUAAUCAUCAUAGAUAGCAACUUUGUUCUCAUAAUUAAUUGGAACCUCUUCCGAAAUAGUGGAUUCAUCACUAAAUAAAGUCAUGAACUCUCCAAAUCCACUUUAAUAAUUAUCACAAUAAGUUUCAACACCCUCCAAAAUAGUGGGAUCAUUACUUCCUAAAGUUGACACUCUUCCAAACCCACUUUCAUCCAUAUAAUCAUCAUAGAUAGGAGGCAUGCUUUCAUCAUAAUAAAUUUGCUCAUCAAAACUUGGGGGACAAAAAAUAUCAUCUUCAUCAAACAUAGCAUCCCCAAGCUUGUGGCUUUGCAUAUCAUUAGCAUCAAGGAUAUUCAAGGAAUUCAUACUAACGACAUUGCAAUCAUACUCAUCAUUCAAAGAUUUUAUGCCAAACAAUUUAUUGCAUUCUUCCUCUAACACUUUGACACAAUUAUCGGAAUCCUUAUUUUCACGAAAGACAUUAAAAAGAUGAAGCAUAUGAGGCAACCUCAAUUUCAUUUUUUGCAGUUUUCUUUUAUAGACUAAUCUAGUGAUAAAACAAGAAACUAAAAGAUUCGAUUGCAAGAUCUAAAGAUAUACCUUCAAGCACUAACCUCCCCGGCAACGGCGCCAGAAAAGAGCUUGAUGUCGACUACACAACCUUCUUCUUGCAGACGUUGUUGGGCCUCCAAGUGCAUAGGUUUGUAGGACGGUAGCAAAUAUCCUUCAAGUGGAUGACCUAAGGUUUAUCAAUCAGUGGGAGGCGUAGGAUGAAGAUGAUCUCUCUCAAACAACCCUGCAACCAAAUAAUAAAGAGUCUCUUGUGUCCCCAACACACCUAAUACAAUGGCAAAUUGUAUAGGUGCACUAGUUCGGCGAAGAGAUGGUGAUACAUGUGCAAUAUUGAUGGUAGAUAUAUGUUUUUAUAAUCUGAAAAUAUAAAAACAGCAAGGUAACUAGUAACAAAAGUUGGUGAAAACGGUAUUGCAAUGCUUAGAAACAAGGCCUAGGGUUCAUACUUUCACUAGUGCAAGUUCUCUCAACAAUGAUAACAUAAUUGGAUCAUAUAACAAUCCAUCAACAUGCAACCAAGAGUCACUCCAAAGUCACUAAUAGCGGAGAACAAACGAAGAGAUUAUUAUAGGGUACGAAACCACCUCAAAGUUAUUCUUUCCGAUCAAUCCAUUGGGCUAUUCCUAUAAGUGUCACAAACAGCCCUAGAGUUCAUAGUAAAAUAACACCUUAAGACACACAUCAACCAAAACCCUAAUGUCACCUAGAUACUCCAAUGUCACCACAAGUAUCCGCGGUUUGAUUAUACGAUAUGCAUCACACGAUCUCAGAUUCAUCUAUUCAAACCAACACAAAGAACUUCAAAGAGUGCCCCAAAGUUUCUACCGGAGAGUCAAGACGAAAACGUGUGCCAACCCCUAUGCAUAAGUUCACAAGGUCACAGGACCCGCAAGUUGAUCUACAAAAGAUACAUCAAGUAGAUCAUGUGAAUAUCCCAUUGUCACCACAGAUAAGCACAUGCAAGACAUACAUCAAGUGUUCUCAAAUCCUUAAAGACUCAAUCCGAUAAGAUAACUUCAAAGGGAAAACUCAAUCCAUUACAAGAAGGUAGAGGGGGAGAAACAUCAUAAGAUCCAACUAUAAUAGCAAUGCUCGCGGUAUAUCAAGAUCGUGCCAAAUCAAGAACACGAGAGAGAGAGAGAGAGAGAGAGAGAGAGAGAGAGAGAUCAAACACAUAGCUACUGGUACAUGCCCUCAGCCCCGAGGGUGAACUACUCCCUCCUCGCCAUAGAGAGAACCGGGAUGAUGAAGAUGGUCACCGGUGAUGAUUCCCCCCUUCGGAAGGGUGCCGGAACAGGGUCCCGAUUGGUUUUUGGUGGCUACAGAGGCUUGUGGUGGCGGAACUCCCGAUCUUCGUUCUGUUAUAGAGGUUUGGAGAUAUAUAAGAGGUGUUGGCGUCGGGAACAAGUCAGGGGGGGUCCACGAGGCAGCCACGAGGUAGGGGGGCGCGCCCAGGGGGUAGGGCGCGCCCUCCAGCCUCGUGGUGGCCUCGGGACUCUUCUGGUCCAUCUCCGAUGCUCCGUGGGCUUAUUCUGGUCCAAAAAUAAUCUCCGUAAAUUUUCAGGUCAAUUGGACUCCGUUUGAUAUUCCUUUUCUGUGAUACUCAAAAACAAGGAAAAAACAGAAACUGGCACUGGGCUCUAGGUUAAUAGGUUAGUCCCAAAAAUCAUAUAAAAUAGCAUAUAAAUGCAUAUAAAACAUCCAAGAUGGAUAAUAUAAUAGCAUGGAACAAUAAAAAAUUAUAGAUACGUUGGAGACGUAUCAGCUACUGGUACAUACCAGUGGCGUGGGGUCCCAAACAGGUGCUACUACUAAACUUCUAUGUAUACGCAUUUUCCUAGUAGUGGAUCAGUCUAGCCGCAGAACAUUCAAAGAAUAGGUGGUCAAUGUUUUAUCUUGUCCACAGUAUACGCAUUCUUUCCCUCCCCUCGAUCCUUUUUUAAUCAAGUUGUCUUUGGUCAAGAUGCUUCUUCGACCAAAUAACUUAAAAAAAAAUCUUAUCUUGGCUGGCACUUUUAUUUUCCACAUGAAUUUAUGUGGGAAGCCAACUUCAUUUUUGAUUAAAAAAGAGUAUAGAGAUUUCACAUAAAAUUUCUUAUCCUUAGUGAGCAUCCAGAGUGGUUGAUCUUUCCCACUAUACAUCCUCACCUCAUUUAGCUUUCAAACUCCUCCAUAGCUCUGUUGUUUCUCCAGUCAAAGUACGUCUAACAGUAAACCCCCGCCAUCCUCUAUUGAUGGCCUCCGCAACCGAAAUGUUAUGAUCAAAGCUAAUGUUGUAUAAUCUGGGGUAUAGGUCUUUUAAUGGUUUAGACCCUACCCACCAGUCUUGGCAAAACCUAGUCUCUUUUACUUUCCCCAGUUUCUUUUUGAUAUGUUGGAAGUAUAUUUUUUCACCCCCAUCAAACUGCACCAGAAUUGGGAAUCUCCAAGUUUUUUCUCUACCCCGGAUAGGCAUUUAUUUUGAACAUAUUUGUUAAUCAAUAUGUCAACCCAAGUCCCAGUUUCAGUUUCCAUUUUCCAUAGCCAUUUUCCCUAGGCCUCCUUGUUCUUUUGGUAGGCAACAGGUUUUCCACUAAAUGGUAUUUCUUCUUGUUUUCAUUUUCUUGCCAUACUAGUCUAGCUCUAAAGAAACCAGCCUUCUUCCUUAUCCCAAUAGGCAGUGGGUAGGAAGACAUCAUAAGGGGGAUAUUGGUUAGGCAGGCCUGUACAAGAGUCACCCUUCCAGCCAUAUUCAAUAACCUGCCUUGCCAACAUGCACACAUUUUUUCAAUUUUAUCAGUAACCCCUUUCCAAAAUUUAUUUCCCAGUCUAACAUCAGCCACUGGCGGUCCUAGGUAUUUGAGGGGCAUUUUUCCUACCUCACAAGUAAAAAUUUCCUGAUAGAUAUCACUUUUGUUCACAGCUUCCCCAAAUAAGAAAAUUUCACUCUUAUGAGAAUUUAUAGUCAGCCCAGACAUUUGUUCAAAUGCUGUGAAAAUGAAUUUUAAGUUUUUGGCACUUUCUUCAUCAUCUUGUAAGAGGAAGAUAGUAUCGUCAUCAUAUUGUAGCAUGUUAAUCUCACAGUUGUUAUGUUCUGAAAGCACCCCUUUAACAAUCCCUCAUGCUUAGCCUUGUCCAAUAUAAUGGCUAGGGCAUCAGCAGCUAUAUCAAACAGCAUGGGAGAUAGAGAAUUCCCCUGCCUGAGACCUUUGAAGGUUUUGAAAUAUGGGCCAAUGACAUCAUUGACUUUGACACCCACAUGACCUCCAACCAUAGUGUGCAUCACUAGGUCACACCAUUGGUCAGGGAAGUUUUUUAGUUUCAUCAUUUUAUAGACAAAAGGCCACUUGAUUUUAUCAUAUGCCUUCUCAAAAUCCACCUUGAAAAGCAAAGCACUCUGCUUCUUCUUGUGUAUUGUAUUUAGGGCCUCAUGCAACACCACCACCCUUUCCAUUAUAUAUCUCCCUUUUAUAAAUACUGUCUGAUUUGGGGAUAUAACAAGUUUUAUGACCUUACUAAGCCCGUUCAUCAGAACUUUGGUUAUAAUUUUAGAGCUUACAUUAAGGAGGCAAAUCAGCCUAAAUUUCUGUAUUUGCUUAGCAUCCUUAACCUUGGGCACCAGGGUAACAAUCCCAUAGUUUAAUCUUGUGAUAUCAGAGUGGUGCUUAUAGUAAGAUAAAGGAGAUCCACGCAAUCAACAAACGAACCUCCUAAUCGCAGGGCCUGGUUUGGUUGCUUUCAUGUUAUAGUCAUUUUAUUAGGCUGCUCCGGUCCCUGUUGAGUCCAACAUGUAACCAUGUACUAUGUUCUUUUAGGUGACCCAUACUUACGUUUUUGUUGUUGUUUUUGUCGUGGUAUCAUCUUGUGGCUUUGUUAUUUAUAAACCAGGCGCUACAUGCGUCUUCGUUUUAAAAGAACAGCUAGCAAACCACUCCUUGACAUUUCGUCUGGGCCGGCCGUGUGAUCCUUCUUGGCCUCCAAGGCGGCCGGUCUAGCCACAGGUAUGAUUUUCUGAAAUCAUAUUGACUAUCUUCAGCAUGCAUGCCGACUCCAGAGUCGCGGAGGACGACGGAUUGAUUGACAUUUUAUGGCCUGCAUGGUGCGUGAGUGCUGACGUGGUGCAGUGCAUGGCGGCAGGUGGACGAUUGAGCUAGCCUAGUGACCUGACUGACAUUUCAAUCCGGGCAUGCAGUUCGUACGUGAAUCUUCUUGCUCUUGGCCUGCAGGCGUCGUGGACACAGUGACGCGACCAUUUCUUUUCUGAAACAACCAGUCGAUUUUCAUUAAAGAAAACGCCAAAUAUCCUACAACAAAGAUAGCAAAAGGCAAAAAGAGCCUAAUAAAAAAAGACUGGAACAACAAAGUUUUGGCGAGGUAGGGAGAAUAUGCAAUUUCCCAUCACAGUUUUUCAUCCCAUACUAAUGUCUAGCGUCAUCUAGGCAUCCAAUAAGUCCAGUUAAGCACAACAGUAUAUGUAACUUGACUGAAUUUACAAUUUGGGUAAAUCGAUUUGUUGGAAGGAGGAACGGUUGGAGGAGGAAAAUGCUGGACUUAGAAGAAACAUGAAUGGCCAUUGAAUCUUAAUCCAAUACCCAGAAAAAAUCGAUUUACCAAAUAAAUAAAUAAAUCAGGCAACUUACCUAUAGCCGAUCGAUCCCGUGCCAGGAACAAAACAAGAAGAGAGAUCACCAAGAAGCGUCAGCAACAGCACGCACAGUGCAGCCUGCAGCGCACGUGGCCGUUGGCGGACUUGUCCGGUCACGCGCAAACGGCGACGAGGACUACCGCGACGGCGACGGCGCACACGGCAGAGCGUGACAUGUCCGUCGAUCGAUCAAGGUCGUGCAAGUAUGCACGCGUUUCUUGAGCGACAACUGACGAGCGAAACGACGAUAGGAGUUGAGCUAGCUAGCUGCCACCUUGACAUUUCUUCUCAAGUCCUUGUCGAGCGCCACACGACACGAGUGCCCUAUUGCCUAGUUUUAGCACAUCCACGGUCGCCGAGAGUGACGGGUCCGACAAGUUUUGGCGUGCCGGCGUAGUGCAGGCGCGCAUGGCCGCAGGUCCGGUGUUCCGUGUGCGCGUGACGCGCGAGCGAACAACUGGAGUUGAUUUCUGGCUCUUGGCACGAGCUUGCGACCGAGUUGACACGAGGGUGGCAGGUGAGCGAAAAGCUCCCGCUUGGAACGACGCUGAUUAUAUAUUCUCUUGUCUUGCUGACAAUGUUGCCACGAGAAACAACAUUGGCAAUUAAGUAGUAUGUCGAAAAAGGGUUCCCGCUUUGUAUACAAAGCAACCAACCGAUACAUUCAAUAAUAGGUGCUGGGACGAAAGCAGCACCGUCACACCCAAAAAAAAAAGAAGAGAAAAUACAAG